GUUCAUUCAUCGCCUAUUCACAACAAUACAAGGUUCUACAGAGUUCAAUCCCACACCAUGUUAUAGACAUGCUUCAACUAUCAACCGGAACGUAAUCGUUAGGGUUCAACAACUUCCAGAUACAAAAUUACUAUAAGUCUCAUCUCCGACAUUCAUACAGAAAAUCGAAUAAAAUUCGAAAUCAAGAAUCAAUCCAAAAUGAAAGUUGAAAAUUUGGAAAAAGAACUUACAUUGGAGAACAGCCCACGAGAAGAGUAUCAUUUCUACCUCUUGGGUCGAGGUCCAAUUCCGGCGAUAUUGGCCGGAAACCCCUGGGUCACCGUUUCUUAGACUUGAAGUUGAGGAAAAUCGCCUACGAAUUUAUAGAAACUAACUUGGGGGAUAGGAUAAGGGUCGGCAAGAGCAUUCUGGAUGUGUAGUUUGAGAGCCUUUGGUGACCAGUGGACGACAGAGCUGUUGCGUCGGCACUCGGCAGUCUUCGGCUUGCUGUUGAAUGGGGCUCCUGUUGCAGCGCAGCGCAAAAGAGAAGGAGGAGAGAGGAUACGGGAGGAGGAGAGAAAAUGGGUUUCUCCCACCUUUUACAUUAAUUCUUUUCCACAUUUUUUUAUGGAAUAAACGAUAAUAUUUAUCAUCAAAGUGUGUUUGGUACGUGAGAUGAGAAGGAACAUGUAGGAAAACUAAUGAAAAUGACUUGAAAAUUUUGAGUUUUAAUGAUAAGGACAAAAUAAAGAGUAAAGUGAAUACUACCGGAUUGACUUUUUAGUGUAAAAAUGUGGUUUUUCGUUAAAGUGAACAGUACUGGGUGCUUUUCGUUAAAGUUCCCAACAUGUUUUGAUGAUAAUAAUGGUUAGAAGUAAUAUAGUUCAAAUUUAUUUUUGGUGAUAAUUGAAUAUAAGAUUUCUCUUACAAGUUACAAAUAAAAAUGAAUAUCAUAAAUUUUUUUUUCACUUUUAAUACACACGUAAAUAAAAAACAAAAUGAAAAUGGAAAGAAAUAAAAAUUUGAAUAGAAAUGAAAAAAUUAAGUAAAUUGACAGCAUAAGGUAAUCAGCCAUGAAUAAAAUAUUAUACCAUCCUUAAACAUUGUAGUGCCAUGGAAUCUCAUUUUAGUCUGAAUUUCCUUCUGCUUACACUCACGCGUUCAUAUUGAUGAGCACUACGAGAAAAUAUUAAGAUGAUAGGUCAUACUCAUACGUUCGUUUUUGUUGAGAAUUUUUUUGAAGGAUUUUGCAAUAUGGCAGCCAUGAUUUGCAAAGCCCACCAUCGUAGAGCUCGAUAUCGGCCUAACUUGUGGAGCCACCAUCGCAAAGAAGAACCUGGAAAGCUCAAUCCUUGUCGUCUUUUUCUUAUAUAAGUGUCAUUUUGGUGAACCAAAUGUUCCGAUUCCAACAUCCAAAAUACCACAAUGUGAUUUUUUUCAUACUACAAUUGGAUUGCAUCUUAAAAUUAUAAAGUCUUGGAGCAUUGGUCAUGCCAUCAUGCUGAUUUGUGUUGGAUUUCGUUAGAGAUCGUAAUUAAUCAAUCACCCUUUUUGUGUCUCCCUUCAAAAGCUCAAAUUGAAAUCUGAACUCCCUAGCAAAUAAGAGCCCAAUUUGACAACCAAAAUCUUCAUCGUUCGAGCAUCAAUGUUCUCUUAAAUUCACUACGAGCAAACCGCCAUGAAAUCUCCUUCAUGGACAUCUCAUAAAAUUAGAACGAUACAAAGAAGAUUAGUGUGACUCCUAAGCUAGGAUUACACGUAUGAAUCGUAAAAUAGUUCCUCCUCCACUCUUUGAUUCUCUCUUUCACUGGCUAACAAUAUUUUACUCUACCUUUUCACCCUAAGUAAGAAAGUAAGAAAUGAGCAUUUUGUUAGCAUCUUUUUGAAAAUUUCAAAUUUGAUCCUAAUAUCUCUUUUGCACUAUUUGACUGAACGACAAAUUUUGAUUGUCUAAAUAUUUAUAUCAAACUACAAAUAAUAUUGAUAUUAUAUAUUUAUAAUGUGACUAGAAUUGUAGUACCCAACAUAUCUAUCUUGAAAUAAAUUUUGUUGUCUAUGAAGUGGCCAACUCGACCCUCUCCUAUACUCUUUGAGUUUGUAUAAAUAUAUCAUUGUUUUAAAAAUUGACAUUCAGUACUGCGAUUUAGUGAUAUUCAUUAUCAGGUUCGAAUCUUAGGAGUGACGAGUUUGUGUAAAUAUAUCAUUGUAUUAAAUAUAAAUAAAAAUAAAAAAAAUAAACAAAAUAUUUUUUUGGUCGGACAAAAACACGAAAAUGCCCUUAAAGCCCAAAGUGACCCCUCUACCCUGCCGCUGCCUGCAAGUUCUUUCCUCGCCCCUGUUUCUACGUCCAAUUAAUCUGGAGGUAAGCUUUUAAAUCAGGUUCAAUUAACCUCUAUAAGUACAUCUUUUAAUUAGUAUUGUGUCAUCUUGUUGAUCGUGUUUAAUUUUCUAGGUUACACAACCUAAUCUUGAGGACUCAAAUGAUGAUGAUAAUCUCGAAAAUCUUCCUCUAAUUAACUGUAAUUCGAUGGAAGUGAUUUUUCAACUAAAGGAACCGGUGCAUGAAGAAAGUAGUCACUCCAUUGAAGCAUUCAAUAAAUUGAGGUCCAUGCGGUUAGAUAUAUUGCCAAGUUUAACGCGUGUUUGGGAGACGGGUAGUUCACAACCGAUGUUCACAGGAAGCAGCUUCGGAAACUUGAAAUCGCUGCGGGUCGUUGCACCGAUGAAAUAAUUACAUUACCUAAAGUGAAGUCCAUCAAUCUUAAACGUCGGCCAAAACUCAAGUAUUUUUAAGGUGAAGCUUAUACUUUGAAGUUGCCGUCUUUGGAGUUAUUGGAGGUUGAUGACGUGCAAAACUUAAGCCUAUUAGCUCCAAAGCUUAUUGCCACACAUCCCCGAAUGCAAGUAUACACCGCGUUGAGAGUGGCUAAAUGGAUGGGGGACCUCAAUGCCACUCUAAGGAAUAUUUACGUAAUCACUUAUGUGUGCAUAUGCGCACACUAAAGUAUCUCGCAAUGUGCACACUAAAAUAUGUUUUUUUGUUUUUUUUUUUUGGAAACUCGAAUUAUAUCUCAAGAAAACAUCUCUCUUUUAUUUCUAAUACCGAGAAGAAUGAAGCUGACGGAAUUCUACAAGACACCAUAUAACGAGGAUGUUAACAAUCACAAAAGGUUGUGGCUUCGGCUAUUCGCUUACUUUCAUAUAACGAGGAUACUGUUUCCGUUGCUUACUAUAUGUAUAAUUAAUUUCGAUUGCGAUUAUUACUGUUUGAAUUCAUCUCUUGACUGCCUAUGGGGACGUCAAGGUGGACACCAAAAUGGAGGCGUGAUGACCUGCAUCCGGAAAGUGACGUAGCCAUAACGUGCAUGCAAAUAUAAUUUAAUAAAAUAACUUCAAAUGAUCUACUGAAAAAAUCGGCAUAGUUUCCUUUGGAAUUAGGUUUUGGCCCCCAAAUUUAAAACCUGCUGAAAAAGUUAUAAUUAUUUCAAAACCACAUCCCCGACACCUAAUGGGUUAUCAACCCUCUACUACAUGCACGCAUACUCCAAUAUACUUACUGGUGGUAUAGCAUACAAUUUCAUACACUAGUGAUAACUAGUGUAAGCUGAAAAUUUAACCAUACACGCUAGUGUAAACUGAAGAUAAAACCAUACAUUAGCUGUAGCUAGUGUAAGCUGAAAAAUAUAAUCAUACACUAGCCGUAGCUAGUGUAAGCUGAAUGGGCAUCCUCACAGUAGGGACAAGAUGACUAUACUGUAGUAUAAAUCAUACACGUGUAAGCUGAAUAACAUGUCCGUAGCAUGGACAAGUUGAAUAUUCUUUAAUAUUAACCAUACACAUAUGCGGAAUGACAUGUUUGUAGUAUGGACAAGCUGAAUAUACUGUAAUAUUGACUAUACACGUGUAAGCUAAAUAAUAUUAUCAAACACUGGUUAUGGCUAGCUAGUGUAAGCUGAAUAUGUUCAUACACUGUAAGGUCUGGUAUUAAUUCAUAAAAUCUAUUCUUCCCCUAAACGUAACGGAAAUCAUAUGUAUCUAGGCAUGCUUAAUAUUUGAUAAAGAAAAACAUUUCUGAAAGAAAUGCCCACUGACACCUCCGGCUAGCUCUCCCUUGAGGAGCCUUGUCUACCAAAAAGGUAAUUUCAAGCAACUUCAAGAGAGAAUUUGACCACAUCGCGAAAGUAUGACACCAAACGGUUGAGACCUAGAAGACAUCCAAGAGUUUUUGGAGAAACAGAACGCUCACUGAAGAUAUGUAUUCUAUUUCUAUAGCACGUUUACCCCAAACAAAACACAGGUUAUGGAAAGGAAAAUAACAUUAAGAAAUGCAAAAGAUUGGGGAGAUGCGAAAUAACUCAUCUCUGGUCCUGGAAAUAUUGCAUACAAUAUUGCUCUACCAAUUAAACCAAAUCUUAUGACUCUAGUGACAAGCUAGAAAGCCACAAAAGAAUAAACAAGGAAUCAGGCUAUGCAAUUUCCUACCACAUUUUCACAUCAACGUGAUUGUUAGGGGUUUCAACAACUUCAGAGAAUUACCACAAAUCUCAUCUCCGGCAUUCAGGCAGAAAAAUCAAAUAAAAGUUUGAAAUCAAGAAUCAAUCCCGAAACUGAAAGUUGAAAUUUUGGAAAAAGAACUUACAUCAGAGUACUUUCCAUGAGGAGAAGAUCAUUUUUACCUCUUGGGUCGAGGACAUUCCACGGUGAGCCUGCAUAAAUGAACCAAUUAAACAAAGAAAUGAAAACCGAAUAACUCGGAAGCUAAAGUAUCACAGAUAGAAAAUUGCAUAUACCUAACUAAAAAUGCACAAUCUAACGAGAUGUGGUAGUCUAAGUGUAUAACACAAGGGUGAGAAGUACUCUAGUGCUCACAAACUGAAGCCACAAGACUACCAGAUAAUGUAGCUUCAGAAAUAUCAUUCGUUCUUUUGCGCAUAAUCAUACAUGCUCAUCAGAACAAAGUAUGAUCUCCAACGGAAAUAGAAGUGACACAGGUGAAAGUCAAAAUAAACAAACAAAUAAUAGUGAACGAGAGGCCCUAAAGAAUUGUUCUAACUAGGAGACAAGCUUAAAUUAUUCAGAUAAUAAGUCUUGCACAAACCCAACUUUCAAAAAUACUAGAUUAGUAUGCCGUGAUAUUUAACAAUGCCGUCAAAAACUUACUUGUUGAACAACUCAACCUGUAUUCCAUCUCCUUCUCUGCCAUACCAAAAAUUUGCACAAUUGUUUAAAACCAAAUUAAGGUCUUUCGAAAACCCACCUGAGAUUAUUUGAAAAACACGAAUUUAGAACAAUAAUUCAAAACCAAAGAACAGAAAAUCCAUCACACCAGAGUAAAAAUUAACCAUCUUGUUGCUUCCUAACUCUCAAGAAAUAUCCACGUCUCACUUUUACUAAUGUCAAAACACCGCCAUCAUUGAUCAAUUAGACAAAUAAGACCCAAUUCGAUUACGCCCAAACUCACAGAACACCCAGAUUCCCAACACCAAUUGAACAAUCUAACCAUGAAUUUCCAAAACUUUCCCCAAAAUCCAGCCUUGGGCAUGCAUUAAAUCCAAUCUAAAACUUGAAUUCAUUUUUAGAGAACAAAAUGUAAAAACUUUGGAACAAUGAAGCAAAAGGGUACUCACCUGUUCCUUGUCCAAAACCGUCGGCGCAUUGUUGGGGGCAGCCAUUAGAACCUGAACAAUUCGCAAAUUAAUUUACACAAACUUCUUCGAAACCGAAUGAAUUAGCAGAGAGGGUUUAAGUAAUCUUACUCGGCGGGAUGGAAUCGAACGCGCUGAAAGUGGUUGCUGUAAAUGCAGAGGGGUUUAAGCGUCCGAUUUGAAGCUAAAGCAGAAGAAAAUAAAAAUCCCACUGAGCUAAUAAUGUACGAAUUAGGGUUUUAGGAGUUAAUAUAGCGUGUAUAUGCGAUGGACGGUUUUGUUUUUAGGGGGGGACUUUCAACCGGAAAAGUUAGUGGAUUACUGCCCUUUCUUUUUUCCUUCCACCACAAGUAGUGCGAUAAUUUCACAAAGGCCCUGUAUGGUGGGCCGCCGUAUAUAAUUGUCCUUUUCUUUCUUAUUUUUUUGGAUUUAUUUAUUUAUUUUCUAACUCAUAGUUCAUCAGGGCUCAGGUUCAGUUGAUUAAAGUAGUAUGUUUCUUUUGUUAUGCUAUAGUUUGAAUAUUCAUUCAAAUGAUUUAGAUUUCUUCGUGCAAACGAUCAUUCAAUUAAAAGAAAAACUCGUAUUAUGUUUGCUUACAAGAAAUGAAUAUCAUUCUCAUUGUAUGUUUACUAACAACCAAGGAUUUGAGAGGAAAAAACGUGAAUCCACAUUGAUUUUGCAUAUCUAAUACCUUCUCAUACCAAAAAAAAAUCAAGGUAUAAGAUUAUUAAGGGGGUUGUUUAAACUCAUGGAAAUGUGUUUUGAUGUUCGCCGAAUAACAAUUGUUUGUUCUCGAUUCAUUUCAAAUUUUAACAGAUGACUCGUAACUUAAGCAGUUAAGAGUUUUUUCUCGUGCUCUCAAAACUUGGCGUUACCUAGUGAAUCAUAUAAUAUUCAAUAAUGCCAUACCAUUUGAAUGGAUCGAAGAUUUCAAAUUGACAACAUUUGUGCCGGUAACCUGUGUAUUACAAGGAUCAUUGAGAAAAUACAUACUUUCACAUUGUGCCGGUAGCUUUCAUUAGCAAUGCUUCACAAUUUACAGGUACGAGGGCUUGACCAGCAUCUCCUCCGGAUCUUUCCACACUGGGAGUCCUUAACUGUACAAAUAAGAUUCACAUACGCAAAAUAUGUGCUAGACUACGCACUGCAAAUGGAAACAAGUUGUCACCCCUAUUUAUCCAAAAAUAAUAUACUUGUUAUAGAUAUCCGUGUAGAAUAUUAUAUUACGAGGGGCGGAGAGCGUGUGUACGGCAAAGUAGGAACGGGUACAGCAGCAACGUAGCAGCACAAGCAAGAGGAUGAUUGGAACUGCAACUUACCCCCACACAUUCACAGAAGCCUUUUUCUUUCCCCUGCUGGUGUUCAUGAAAGCACUUUGAAGUGAAAAAGCCAUGAAAUUACGAAGGCAAGAAUCAUGCAGGCAAGAAGGAAAUUCAUAAUGCAGCGGCCAUGCCACAUGGUUCAGGUUUCAACCUGGAUCAUGGGUGCUGAUGCGGCUGUGGCAGUACUGCUAUUUGCCUCGUUUAUCUGGCCACUGGAAAUGUUGAAUGCAGUUACUCCACAGAUCUCGCAGGUUCUGCAAAUCAAAUAAAUAAAAUUAUGCAUAGGCAGAAAAUAACAUAUCAGUCAGACAUGACAAGCAAUUACAACCAUAACACAACAUAAUGAAGAAACGUACCAUGAGGAUUUUGAACAAACAUAAUGAAGUGUAACCAAUAGCAUACAAAUAUAGAAGAAAAUGCUAUACAAUCACUGUAAGUGAUUUCAAAGGCCAUCAAUCUUCUAUUUCUGUUUCUGGAAAAAAGUCAUGUCGUCGAGAAGUCGUUCCAUUUGCUUACCAUGAUGAGUAAAAUGAAAUUUGAACUAGCUUGCUGUUCUUGCAUAUCUUCUCCUCAUCCUGGUUACCAAGCAAGUCAGUCUUGACCAAUCCAUCUAUAUUAUCAUGUGAUGCAGCUUAUCUAGAUUAUAUUUCCUGUGGCCUAAGUUUGGAUAUUUCCUUUGCAGAGGGUAUAGCGUGCAAGGUCGUAAGAACUUUACCAAAUUAUCAUCCUUCGAGUUUAGAAAAUCUCCCAAAUAUAUAAGCGAAAUAAACUUGUGACGGAAUCAAAGAAUGCAAAUGCUCAUCAUCAUUUACUAAUCCAUAUGCAUAAUGUAAACAUUUACAUCUCUAUUAGAAGCAUACAUAAAAAAUACAUGGCACACAAGAUAUCCACUUUUCGACAUAGGAGCUCAAUUCUUGCAUACAAACACACUUCCUUUAGCUUGCUUUGGACCUCGCACUUUCCACUAAUGUAAAUGCCACAAAAAGUGUGACUGUAAAAACUAUAAACGUAGAACGAUCGAUAUGUUUGAGUUCAGAUGGACUGUAAUAGUGGUGACUACAAGAUUUGUUCUUUUACUAGAUUUUCUCGUAUUUCAUAUAAGCAUACGCAUUCUACUAUAUACGUGAUCUGCCUCAUUCAGCAUUCCAGUAAGAAGCAAAAUGAUAAGAACAAUUGUGACAGUUACAUCAAAAGAAAGAAGCUAAUUAACAAGUAAUCAUUCGAAUAAGCUGAACUCACGAAAGUAGGAACCUAAACACUAUCAAGAUGGCCUCUGUUGUAGCAUGCCCAUAGUAAGAUCAUAGUUUGAAGUAUGUUAGGAUGCCACUUGUCAUCAUCUCAAUAUGACAAAUGUAAGGUUGAGAUGCUAUAGUAGUAGAUAAGAUGGUUGUAAGUUGUUAGAUGAUAGCUUACAAAGGAAGCUAAGUAGUUUACAUAUAAGGAAGUCGGUUGUAAUUGGGAGGGGGUCAUUGGAAUAAUCUCUGUUUAAUACAAGAAAGUACUACGCAAUUGUCAAGAAGCCGAGCAAGGUUUUAACAUUGGUAUUAGCCAGUGUCGAUUCCUCUCAAUCUUUCAUUGUUGUAUGCCCCGCCGACCCUGGAACACCAUGGAAUCGCGAGUGUCAACUUUGGAAACCAUGCUCGCCAAUCUCAAAGCUAAGCUCAAGAACAACCAAGAGAUGAUCAUGAUGCAGCUGCAAUCUAUGGCAGCCAAAGGCGGUUCUUGCAGCGGCGAAUCGUCCGAGGCAACACCGCUGAAUCCUCAGAUACAGGGCGAAGUACAAUGUGGUAGCCACGAUUUGGGUCUUCAAAAUUGCUGGGCAUUUCUGAAAAUGGACUUUCCAAGGUUCAUGGAAGGUGAUGAUCCUUUGGGUUGGGUCUAUAAAGGCGACCAUUAUUUCGAUUUCUACCACAUCGAAGAUGCUAAGAAGGUGAAAAUGGCUUCAUUCCACAUGGAAGGGGAAGCUCUUCAAUGGUUCCAGUGGGCCAAUUGUCUAACCAAUUAUCCUAAUUGGGAGGAUUUCACCAAGGUUUUUUGUCAAGAAUUUGGACCUUCCGAAUUCGAGGACUCUGCUGAAAGUUUGGUCAAGUUACGGCAAACUGGGACACUCCGAGAUUACUUGUUGGAAUUUUGACAUUUAUCGAAUCGUACCAAAGAUAUCAGCCUUGCUUUGUUGAAAUCUUGUUUCAUUGGGGGUCUUAGGCCGGAAUUGCAACUUGAUGUGAAGCUCUUCAAACCUAAGGAUGUGCUGGAAGUUGCUGCAUUAUCUCAGCAGAUCGAUGCCAAGCUUACAGAUCUCAAGGUGAAAACUUUCUAUAAAUCACCUACAAUUCAACCCAAUUUUAGAUCACCAGUUUUGCAGAAUGUUAGUAACCAAACAUUGGCUGAUAUUCGUACUAAAACUCCUAAUGUACGAUGAUUGACCCCAGAAGAAGUGGAUUAUUGUUGAAAUAAUGGAUUGUGUUUUCACUGUAAGGAGAAAUAUGUGAGGGGCCAUACUUGUGAAAAGAAACAGUUGCAUCUUCUUGAUGUUCAAGACUGUGAGAUGGGUGAUGAGUGUGCUGAGGAAGUAGAGAAUGAGGAACCAGAGAUAACUGUUUGUGCUAUUUUUGGCAUCCCAGCUCCACCUAUAAUUAAUACUAUGAAGGUCAAUGGAUUUGUUAAAAACUGUCCAGUCACUAUACUCAUUGAUUCUAGUAGUUCUCAUAACCUUGUUGAUUUGGGAUUAGUUAAAAGACUCAGGGGGUAUCUUGAUACUGCAUAUCUUUUCAAUGUUAAACUGCAAAUGGGGGACGAGUUGCUACGAAAGGAACAUUAGCUCCUACUGUGAAAAUUUAGGAUUUCAGUUGUAUAACUGAUCUCUAUGCCAUUCCUUUAGGGGGUUGUGAAAUUGUAUUGGGGGUACAAUGGCUUCGAACCCUUGGCCCCAUUCUCUGGGAUUUCGAUAAACUUUACAUGAAAUUCUUAAAUGGGUCUCUCAUACAUAUUGUAUUACAAGUCCAGGAUCUUCCUUACAUCAGCUUGAAGACAUAUCAGCAUUGCAGAUGCAAAAACUUUUGCAGUAGGAAAACACAAUAGGAGCAGUUCUUUAUCAAAUGGGACCUACUACUAUGCAAUGUUAUUCUCCGGAGCAAACAUUGGGGGAUCUAAGUUCUCAACAUCUCACUAAGCUGCAACAACAAGACUUAAAGUCCCUUUUGGGGGAAUAUGAGAUAUUGUUUGCAACCCCUAAUACCUUACCUCCUAAUAGGUUGCAUGAUCAUAGAAUUCCCUUGAUAGCAGGAAGAAGUAAACCUCCAAAUACGCCUUUAUAGAUAUGGUCCAGUGCAAAAAUCAGAGUUUGAAAAAUGUGUUCAGGAGUUUUUACAAGCUGGUUUUAUUAGGGAAAGUAAUAGCCCUUAUUCAUCUCUAGUAAUGUUAGUGAGGAAGAAAGAAGGGACAUGGAGGAUGUGUAUGGAUUAUAGGGGUCUGAAUGGCAUCACUAUCAAAGACAAAUUUCCAAUUCCUUUGAUUGAUGAACUUCUGGAUGAAUAGUUUGGUGUUCAAUUAUUUCUAGAUUUAAGAGCUGGUUAUCAUCAAAUUAGGAUGUAUCAUAAUGAUAUAGAGAAUACAGCUUUUAGAACACAUGAUGGCCAUUAUGAAUUUUUGGUCAUGCUAUUUGGUUUAACGAAUGCUCCUGCCACAUUUCAGUGUUUGAUGAAUGAAAUUUUCUGACCAUUUUUGAAAAAGUUCAUCUUGGUGUUUUUUGAUGACAUUUUGGUAUAUAGUGCUACUUGGGAAUUGCCCCUGCAACACUUGAGGGUAGUAUUUGAUCUGUUGAAAGCUCACAGUUUGUUUGUUAAGAAAUCGAAAUGUGCCUAUGGGAGGGAUAAAGUUGAAUAUUUGGGACAUAUUGUGUCCAAAGAUAGGGUAGUUGCCGACCCUACCAAGUUGGAUUCAAUUGCUAACUGGCCUAUCCCUACUACAGAAAGUUUAUUCCCCAUUUUGGCAAAAUUAUAGGUACCUUGAUUGCCUUGACCAAGAAGGACAGUUUUAUUUGGUCUGAGGAAGCUACACAGGCCUUUAACACUCUUAAAGUAGCCAUGCUUUCCCCUCAAGUUUUAGCUCUACCUAAUUUCAGUAAGCCCUUCAUUAUUGAGAGUGGUGCAUCUGGACAUGGCAUUGGAGCAAUAUUACAACAAGAAGGCAGGCCCAUUGCUUUUACAAGCAAAGCCCUUAGCCCCAGAAAUCAAACUAUGUCAGCAUAUGAACGGGAAAUGUUGGCAAUCAUUCAUGCAAUUCACAAAUGGCAGUCUUAUUUGGUGGGGAACCAUUUUAUAAUUCUCACACAUCAUCACAGCUUGAAAUAUUUCUUACAAGGAAGAGCUCACACACCUUUUAAGCAAAAAUGGGUGUCUAAACUCAUGGGCUUCGAUUAUGAAAUUCAAUAUAAGCAAGGCUGUGACAACCAAGCUGCUGAUGCAUUAUCAUGUAGUCCUUUAACUACUGAUCUAACUAUUGAGUUCCGGUGUGAUUCCAUUGUUUGUGCAGCUAUUUCCUACCCUUAUUCAACAUGGAUUGAUGACCUUAUGAGACAUGUUGAAAAAGACACUUGGGUGAUUGAAAAAACACAGAAAGUUCUUAGUGAUACCUCAGAUGGGGGACCACUUGGCAAUCUCAGGUUUCAAGUGGAUAAUGGGUUUCUUAAGUACAAUGGUCAAAUUGUACUCAGCCCUUGUAGUUCAUGGAAAUAAAAAAUCUUUGAGGAACAUCAUGCAACCCCACCUGAAGGCCAUGAAGGUUUUCUUAAAACCUAUGAAAGAAUCUCACGAUCAUUCUAUUGGGAAGGAAUGAAGAAAGACAUCAAAAAGUUAGUAGCAUCUUGUAGUGUCUGCCAACAACAUAAGUAUGAAACCUUAUCUCCGGCUGGUUUCCUUCAGCCAUUACCUAUUCCAUCCAAAGUAUGGUCUGAUAUCUCCAUGGAUUUCAUUGUGGGGCUUCCUUCUUGCAAAGGGAAAACAAUGAUCUGGGUUGUAGUAGAUCAGCUAUCCAAGUAUGCUCAUUUCCUAGCUCUAUCUCAUCCUUUCACAGCAUCCAUGAUUGCACAACUUUUCAUUGAUAACAUUUUUAAGUUGCAUGGUAUGCCCAGUUCUAACUCCGCCUAUGUCUUACAUGGCCGGUCCCAAGCCCGGAUAAAGGAGGAGGGGGAGGGCGUCAGGUAGUCGACAGCCGGCACUCCAUGAUCACGUCGAAUCCUUAUGAAAAUGAAUCCAGAACAAAAUCGCGCUAAAGCUAGGGCGUCACCCGUAAGUGGCGCGCUGUGUGGCCUGAGCACAGUGAUAAGUGAGCAAGGGUCGCUGUAUCUCCAUCGGCACCCGGAUGCAGUGUUAAAUGAGCAAGGGGGCCAUAGAAACUUCUUUUCGAACGACUCCACUCAAAGUUGUUUGGGAGCAUAUGCUCCUAUCAACUUUACCCGGGACACACAAAAAGAAGUACUUUGAUCCUAUUAGACGGGGGAGGGUGAAAGAAGCUAGGACAGAAGGGUAGAGUUCAAGAGAGCAAAAUGCGUUUAGGAACGUGGAAUAUAGGAACCUUAACGGGAAAAUCUAUGGAAGUAGUGGAAGUUAUGGUGAGGAGAAGGAUAAAUAUUAUGUGCCUACAAGAAACUAAGUGGGUUGGUAGUAAGGCAAAGGAUCUAGAAAACUCAGGGUUUAAACUUUGGUAUUCGGGCACAAAUAGAACGAGAAACGGUGUUGGCAUCAUCGUGGACAAGACCUUGGUACAAGAUGUUGUAGAUGUCAAGAGGGUAGGAGAUAGAAUCAUGGCAAUCAAGAUUGUAAUAGGACAAGAACUUAUCAAUGUGAUUAGUGCGUACGCACCUCAAGUAGGGUUGGAUACGAGUUCGAAGGAGAAAUUUUGGGAAGAUCUUGGAGACUUGGUGCAAGGAAUUGCUCAGACGGAGAAGUUAUUAUAUAGGAGGAGAUUUAAAUGGACACGUGGGCAGGGAGACAGGCAACUAUGGAGGUUUUCAUGGUGGCCAUGGUUUUGGGGAGAGAAACGAGGAUGGGGAAGCUAUCUUGGAUUUUGCAAUGGCAUAUGAUCUCUUCUUAGCCAACACCUUCUUUAAGAAGAGAGAAGAACAUGUGAUCACCUACAAGAGUGGGUCGUCAAAAACACAAAUAGAUUUUCUUCUAAUGAGGAAAGGGGAUCGUAUAACUUGUAAGGAUUGCAAAGUUAUACCAGGAGAGAGCGUGGCUAAUCAACAUCGCUUGUUGGUGAUGGAUGUACAUAUCAAAAGAGUAAGACAAAAGAACAAGACUUGGAAGUGCCCAAGGACUAGAUGGUGGAAUCUAAAAAGAAGAAAAACAAGCCAUUUUCAAAGAGAAGGUAAUCACCCAAUGUGUGUGGGAUAGAGAGGGGGAAGCUAGCCAAAUGUGGGAUUCCAUGUUGGAAUAAGAGCUAGUUGCAUCCGAAAGAGGUAGCAAAAGAGGUAUUAGGAGAGUCCAAGGGCUUUGCCCCACACCAAAAGGAAUCUUGGUGGUGGAAUGAGGAGGUACAAACAAAGGUGAAGGCUAAGAAGGAAUGUUGUAAAGCCUUAUACAAGGAGAGGACUGAUGAAAAUGGUGAAAGGUAUAGAAAAGCGAAGCAAGAGGCGAAGAAAGCUGUCAGAGAAGCUAAGUUAGCGGCUUACGACGAUAUGUAUAAACGACUAGAUACCAAAGAAGGAGAGUUGGAUAUCUAUAUAAACUAUCUAGAGCAAGGGAAAAGAAGACAAGGGACCUAAACCAAGUGAGGUGCAUCAAGGAUGAGGAUGAGGAUGGAAAGGUUCUUGCUACAGAGAACGCGGUUAAAGACAGAUGGAGAGGUUAUUUUCAUAAUCUUUUCAAUGAUGAAGGACAUGAAAUGAGUGCUUCUUUAGGGGAGUUGAGUAACUCAGAAGAGUGUAGAAACUACUCUUUUUAUCGUCGAAUCCGGAAGGAAGAAGUGGUUGUAGCUUUGAAGAAGAUGAAGCAUAAAAAAGCAAUAGGCCCAGACGAUAUACCAAUCGAAGUGUGGAAACUUUUGGGAGAGACAGGUAUAACAUGGCUCACUGACCUUUUCAAUAGGAUUUUGAAAACGAAGAAGAUGCCAAAUGAGUGGCGAAUGAGCACUUUGGUGCCUAUCUACAAGAAUAAGGGCGACGUACAAAAUUGCAUGAACUAUAUAGGGGUAUUAAGCUAAUGAGUCAUCAUACAAUGAAGCUCUGGGAGAGAGUCAUUGAGCAUAGAUUGAGGCAAGAGACACGGUUUCGGACAACCAAUUUCGGGUUCAUGCCAGGGCGCUCAACCAUGGAGGCAAUCUAUCUCUUACGAAGAUUGAUGGAAAGAUAUAGAGAUGGGAAAAAGGAUUUACACAUGGUCUUUAUAGAUUUGGAAAAAGCGUAUGAUAGGGUCCCAAGAGACAUUCUUUGGAGGAUUUUAGAGAAGAAAGGAGUACGAGUAGCAUAUAUCCAAGCUAUAAAGGAUAUGUAUGAAGGAGCAAAGACUGCCGUAAGAACUCAUGAAGGACAAACCGAAAGCUUUCCCAUAACUGUAGGAUUACAUCAAGGCUCAUCCUUAAGUCCUUACCUUUUUGCGUUGGUAAUGGAUGAGUUAACAGGACAUAUUCAAGAUGAUAUUCCUUGGUGUAUGCUUUUCGCAGACGAUAUAGUGUUGAUAGAUGAAACUCAGGAAGGGGUAAAUGCAAAGCUUAACCUUUGGAGAGAAGUGUUGGAAUCUAAAGGUCUUCGCCUAAGCCGAUCAAAGACAGAAUAUAUGGAGUGCAAGUUCAGUGCAAAUGGAGGCCAAAACGAGUUAGGGGUGAGGAUCGGAGAUCAAGAAAUACCAAAGAGCGACCGUUUUCGUUACCUAGGAUCUAUCUUGCAAAAGAACGGAGAAUUAGAUGGAGAUCUCAACCAUAGAAUACAAGCUGGAUGGAUGAAGUGGAAGAGUGCAUCCGGCGUGUUGUUGUGUGACCGCCGUAUGCCACUGAAGCUCAAGGGAAAAUUUUAUAGGACGGCAAUAAGGCCGGCGAUGCUGUAUGGCACAGAAUGUUGGGCGGUGAAACAUCAACACGUACACAAAAUGGGUGUAGCGGAGAUGAGGAUGCUUCGUUGGAUGUGUGGGCACACGAGAAAGGAUAAGAUUAGGAAUGAGGAUAUCCGGGGUAAAGUAGGAGUAGCCGAAAUUGAAGGAAAGAUGAGAGAAAAUCGGUUACGGUGGUUUGGACAUGUGCAAAGAAGGCCUACUGACGCUCCGAUUAGAAGAUGCGACUAUGGGACAGAGGUUCAGGGCCGAAGGGGUAGAGGAAGACCUAGGAAAACUUUGGAAGAGACUCUAAGAAAAGACUUAGAGUACUUGGAUCUAACGAAGGACAUGACACAGGAUCGAGCACAAUGGCGUUCUAAGAUUCAUAUAGCCGAUCCCACUCAGUGACUUGGAUUUUCCAAGUCUCCAACCGAGAAGUUUUCCUCACUCGGGAAAUUAAGGGAACACUACCCCAACCUACAUGCUCCACUCAGAAAGCUUCAACAUACAAGCUUCAACAAAAGAAAAUUCAAAGAACUUAGCGAAGAAGGCUUUGGUGUAUUUAACACAAUACGUUGAAAUGAAGGAAAGCUUAUUUAUUGAUAUCCCCGAUAAGCUACAAAUAUGUACAUAUACAUGAGUCAAAAUAAACAACACAAGAGGGAGCCUUCACAAAGGUUGCUUAGGAGAAGUCUCAGCAGUCGGUAGAGCCCCAGAAAGAGAAGGCACCGGAGGGGGAUCAUUUGGAGCCUCAGUACUGGACAGAACCCUAGAAGGAGGAGGCAUCAGAGGUUGAUCAUUUGGAGCUUCAUUACGCGGUACAGCCCCAGAAGACGAAGGCAAUAAAUGCCUUUGGAACAAACCCACAAAUCUCUGAUGAUCAAGUAAAACCUGACCAUCAGUUUCCUUCAUCUGGUCAAGCUUCCUCUUCAUGUUUGUAGCAUAGUCAUGUGCGAGCCGGUGCAACUGUUUAUUCUCAUGCUUGAGCCCUCUAAUCUCCUGUUUGAGACUCAUCACUUCAGCCGCCAAUGAUUCAACUUGGCGGGUUCGAGCAAAUAGGCGUUGGGCCAUAUUAGACACAGAACCUGCACACUGAACACUGAGAGCCAGCGAAUCCUUAACAGCUAACUCAUCAGACCGUUUGGAAAGUAGUCUGUUAUCUUUGGGAGUGAGAAGGUUCCUGGCCACCACCGCAGCGGUCAUAUCAUUCUUCAUCACGGAAUCCCCAACGGUAAGAGGACCAGUAGGGGAGACGAAGGAUGGGCGCCAUAUGUUGUCUGGAGAAGGCGGGGCUGCCUCUUCAACAAGGUUCAAGUCAAAACGACGGUCGGAGGGGCCAGACAUUUUCAAAGGUGUUGAAGAGAGAAGAGGUCGGACAAAUCAAGAUCUUAGAAGUGCAAGAAUGAAGCUUCUACUGGUGGAGAUUCAAGUGUGCUUUGGAACUUAAUGCCAGCCCCUAUAAAAAUCUGCACUCGACGGAAGCUUCAGAAAUCGAAGAGGCGCCUGCUCAGAAAUCGAAGAGGCGUUUGCUUUCUCAAAAGCUGGGCUGCUUAGAGAUCACGAGGGUUGAUCUCAGAAAUCGAAGAGGCGUUUGCUUUCUCAAAAGUUGGGCUGCUCAAAGACCACGAAGGCCGAUCUCAGAAAUCGAAGAGGCGCUCGCUUUCUCAAAAGCUGGGCUCCCCAGAGACCACGAGGGCCGAUCUCAGAAAUCGAAGAGGCACCUACUUUUCCAGCCUUUUCCAGCCUUGUCAGCACCUGUCACACGCACACUCAGCUUUGCGGAAAUUAUGGGCAUUCUGUCGAAGACUUCUGGGGAAGUAGAAAACACAUGAAUCUUACUGUUCAAUCACCCACUUCCCACACGCAACAAUAGCUCAUGGGUACCACAGAUAACUUUGCCAAAGUUCUCUGCCAAAGUUGAGCACGUGAAGCUUGCAGCUCCCACUACAUCGCUCUGACCAAGAAGGGUAAAAGAAUAGCAAAGAAACAGCACUAACAAAGUUUAGACCCAUAAAUUUUGAAGGUCUAGCUACCAUAUUAUUACCCACAAGGGUAAAGGAACAGUACCACUGCUGGAUAAUUGGAAAGUCCCUGUGUGUCAACCUCUGUGCUUCGUGGCAAGGUAGACUAGCAAACAUGCCCAACCUUUACUCACAUUCGAGAAAACACUCCCAAUAAGAUUGCUUGCUCCAAAAUCGAAGAGGCACCGUCCUCCGAAUCUCGAGAGCCAGACUCCCAACAUGACUACUUUCUUAAAAAUCGAAGAGAGGGUAAAGGAACAGUACCAUUGCUGGAUAAUUGGAAAGUCCCUGUGUGUCAACCUCUGUGCUUCGUGGCAAGGUAGACUAGCAAACAUGCCCAACCUUUACUCACAUUCGAGAAAACACUCCCAACAAGAUUGCUUGCUCCAAAAUCGAAGAGGCACCGCCCUCCGAAUCUCGAGAGCCAGACUCCCAACAUGAUUACUUUCUCAAAAAUCGAAGAGACACUGCUCCCCGAAUCUCGAGAGCCAGACCCCCAGCAUGAUUGCUUUCUCAAAAAUCGAUGAGGCAUCGUUCUCCGAAUCAAUCGAAGAGGCGCUCGCUUUCUCAAAAGCUGGGCUGCUCAGAGACCACGAGGGCCGAUCUCAGAAAUCGAAGAGGCACCUACUUUUCUAGCCUUGUCAGCACCUGUCACACGCACACUCAGCUUUGCAGAAAUUAUGGGCAUUCUGUCGAAGACUUCUGGUGAAGUAGAAAGCACAUGAAUCUUACUGUUCAAUCACCCACUUCCCACACGCAACAAUAGCUCAUGGGUACCACAGAUAACUUUGCCAAAGUUCUCUGCCAAAGUUGAGCACGUGAAGCUUGCAGCUCCCACUACAUCGCUCUGACCAAGAAAGGUAAAAGAAUAGCAAAGAAACAGCACUAACAAAAGUUUAGACACAUAAAUUUUGAAGGUCUAGCUACCAUAUUAUUACCCACAAGGGUAAAGGAACAGUACCACUGCUGGAUAAUUGGAAAGUCCCUGUGUGUCAACCUCUGUGCUUCGUGGCAAGGUAGACUAGCAAACAUGCCCAACCUUUACUCACAUUCGAGAAAACACUCCCAACAAGAUUGCUUGCUCCAAAAUCGAAGAGGCACCGUCCUCCGAAUCUCGAGAGCCAGACUCCCAACAUGACUACUUUCUCAAAAUCGAAGAGAGGGUAAAGGAACAGUACCAUUGCUGGAUAAUUGGAAAGUCCCUGUGUGUCAACCUUUGUGCUUCGUGGCAAGGUAGACUAGCAAACAUGCCCAACCUUUACUCACAUUCGAGACAACACUCCCAACAAGAUUGCUUGCUCCAAAAUCGAAGAGGCACCGCCCUCCGAAUCUCGAGAGCCAGACUCCCAACAUGAUUACUUCCUCAAAAAUCGAAGAGACACUGCUCUCCGAAUCUCGAGAGCCAGACCCCCAGCAUGAUUGCUUUCUCAAAAAUCGAAGAGGCAUCGUUCUCCGAAUCUCGAGAGCCAGAUACCACAGACCACUUUUUCAAAGUGCUCUGACAGAGUUAAAACAUGUGAAACUGGCAGCUCCCACUACCGUGCUAUGACCAAGCAGGGUAAAGGAAUAGCAUUACUACUUGUUGUUAGGGAGACUCCUAUAUAUGUCGACCUCCAUCCCCAACGGACAGGCAGACCUGCAAAAAUGCUCAACCCUUCAUCAUAUCUGAGAGGGCACUCCCAACGAAGCCUUUCGAAAUAUUCAGCUUUCUUUCCCCCCGAUAAUACCUCUGCAAACAAGCUAUACUAGAGCAAGAAUAUCUCAUAUCAUCAGGGUUAAAAGCAAGAGUAUCCCAUAUCAUGCUUUUUUCCCUGUCUUUUCCUUUGGCCUUGUUUUUACCUGCAAGACAAGGAGAAAGAGAGCAAUCAGUCAGCACUUGGAAUCAAGCUUCCAGCCAGGAACUGACUGCCUGGAACCCCUUACCUGAUUACUUACCUGGCAUUGCUCUCGAGUACUCAUCUUCAACAUCUUAUGUUUCCAGGGAAGAUUCCGCAUCUGCUUGAGGAACAGAUAGGGCAAGUGCGAAGGAUACAAGGAAGCAUGUGGAGACAAGCGUAACAGCACACGUGCCGAUACAUCCAUUACUCUGUCAAAAGCAAAAGUAUCCCAUAUCAGCAGGGUGGAACGUACUCUAGAUUUGAUGGACUUGUUUUGACCCUCAAAUUCUUCAGUCGGCCUUAUACUCUGGAGGAAACCAGAAAACCCUCCAGCUCAGUUCAAGAAUAAGCCUGUGGAAAGUUACUUCUUCAAAAGCAAAAGUAUCUCAUAUCAUCUCUUCUCAUUUUUCUUCUCUUUAUCCUUCAUGCUGCUGCAAGAUGGGGAGAAGGUGAACAAUCAGUCGGAGCUCUGAUUGCUUACCUUGUCUGUCACCUCUUUCAGCAGACCCCCUAGCUCGGCGACUUGGGGGACUCCUACUACAUGGUUUGUAUCGCGCUUGACCAAGCCUGAAACUACAAGUAAGCUUCAAGUGAAAUUGAUACAUUACCUUGUGCAUCUCCACCAGUUAAAGAUACCACCCCUGGAUGGAGGAAGAGUACUUCCAGAGAAGAUGCCACAUCUACCUAUGAGACAGAUAAGGCAAGUCAAGACGAUACCACACUCCGAUACUUAGAAGUUUCGUGAUUACGAGAUCAUUCUCCCACAAUAUUUCCUAAUGUCAUUUGUACUAAAUCAUUCACUUGUACUCACUAAAGGAGAGCUUGAACCUAUGUACUUGUGUAAACCCUUCACAAUUAAUGAGAACUCUUCUAUUCCGUGGACGUAGCCAAUCUGGGUGAACCACGUACAUCUUGUGUUUGCUUUCCUAUCUCUAUCCAUUUAUAUACUUAUCCACACUAAUGACCGGAGCAAUCUAGCGAAGAUCACAAAAAGCGACCGUUUUCGCUACCUAGGAUCUAUCUUGCAAGAGAACGGAGAAUUAGAUGGAGAUCUCAACCAUAGAAUACGAGCUGGAUGGAAAGAGUGCAUCCGGCGUGUUGUGUGACCGUCGUAGGCCACUGAAGCUCAAGGGAAAAUUUUAUAGGACGGCAAUAAGGCCAGCGAUGUUGUAUGGCACAGAAUGUUGGGCGGUGAAGCAUCAACACGUACACAAAAUGGGUGUAGCGGAGAUGAGGGAUGCUUCGUGGGAUGUGUGGGCACACGAGAAAGGAUAAGAUUGAGAAUGAGGAUAUCCGAGGUAAAGUAGGAGUAGCCGAAAUUGUAGGAAAUAUGAGAGAAAAUCGGCUCCGGUGAUUUUGAACAUGUGCAAAGAAGGCCGACUGACGCUCCGGUUCGAAGAUGUGACUACGGGACAGAGGUUCAGGGCCGAAGGGGUAGAGGAAGACCUAGGACAACUUUGGAAGAGACUCUAAGAAAAGACUUAGAGUACUUGGAUCUAAAGGAGGACAUGACACAAAACCGAGCGCAAUGGCGUUCUAGGAUUCAUAUAGCCGACCCCACUUAGUGGGAAAAGGCUUUGUUGUUGUUGUUGUUGUUGUAUGGUAUGCCCAGUUCUAUCAUCAGUGAUAGAGAUCCCAUUUUUAUGAGUAAAUUCUGGAAAACGUUUUUUGCACUAUAAGGGUCAGCUCUUUGCUUUAGCUCAAGGUAUCACCCUCAAACCGAUGGUCAAACAGAAGUGUUGAACAGGUGUCUUGAAACAUAUCUCUGGUGUUUUUGCAGUUUGCAGCCUAAAAAAUAGCUACAUUGGUUGUCUUGGGCAUAAUGGAGUUUCAACACUAGUUAUCACAUUGCCACCAAAUUAACACCUUAUGAGAUAGUGUAUGGUCAGGCUCCUCCAGUGGUUCCUUCUUAUGGAAAUGGCACUACAAAGGUAGCGUCAGUGGAUCAAUGCUUGCAGGAAAAAAACAUGAUGUUAUCUAUUCUCAAAGCUUAUUUGAUAGCAGCUCAAUGUAGAAUGAAGGUCCAGUUUGACAAGAAACGAACUGAAAGGCAGUUUAAGGUUGGUGAUUUUGUAUAUUUGAGGUUGGUGCCUUAUCAGUACAUGUCCUUAGCUUCUCACUCCUUUAGCAAAUUACAACUAGGGAUGGGCAAAUACCCAUUGGUUACGGGUAACCACGGUUACCCGUCUAUUUAAAUUAAACGGUUACUGUUAUGGGUAACCGUUUAGAUAAAUAAACGGUUAUGAGUAUAACCGUUUACCCGCGAAAUUUAAGUGGGUGGUUAUGGAUAUUAACCACGGUUAUAAACGGGUAACCAUUUACCCAUUUAUUUUAUAUAUGUAAAACUAACACAAACCAUGUUCUCGAUUCAAUAAUACUUAGCACCCAAUAAAUUAGCAAGGAAUUCAUCGGCCAUUCUCUCAAUAACACUACUACAGGAAUGAUGAUUCUCAUCAUUAAGGAAUUGGCCAAAUUAAUUUAAAUUCCUUGCGGGUAACCGUGAAAUUGACAGAAAUGCUUUGACAGAAAUGUCUUCUAAACAAUUUUUGUAACCCAAUAAUACUUGGCAAAUAUUAUAUUUACCUUCAUCGAUAACAGUUAAAAAUAUCGUCUGUAAAUUAUUGUUUAAAUUAUUGGAAUGAUAUAAGGAUUCAAAAAAUUAAAAUAUGGAAAUGUAUGAUGAAUGCACCGUGUUUAAUUGUCAAAAAAAAAAUUAUGAUAAUUUUUUUUAUUAUUUUCAAGUUGUUAAAAAACAUGUAGACUGGUGAAAAAAAAGGUAAUGGUUAAAAAAAAAAGAUAAACAGGUUAAAAAAGAUAAAUGGGUAAACAGGUAUUAAACGGUUACGGUUAAAUCUGUAUACGGUUAUGGAUAUGAGUAUAACAGUUUAGGCAAUUACCCAACGGAUAAAUGGUUAUACGGGUAUGAAUAUAAAUGGUUAUGGGUAAAUUAACCGCAGUUACCCGCCCCCAUAACAUUACCCAUCUCUAAUUACAACCUCGUUUUUAUGGACCCUUUGAGGUGAUAGCUAAAGUGGGACAUGUGGCUUAUAAACUGAAGCUUCCUGACAGUUCCAAACUGCAUCCAGUUUUCCAUGUUUCUUGUCUCAAAAAGCAUUUGGGUUCUCAGCAUAGCCCUACCACGCCACUUCCAAUCAUUACUGAGAAAGGAAUAUUACAGGACAUUCCAAUUGCCAUUCUAGACAGAAGGUUGGUGAAGAAGGGAAAUGCUGCAAUUACGGAAGUCUUCGUCCAAUGGCAGAAUCAUACUCCAGAAGACGCUACCUGGGAACCAUAUCCUGACUUGAAAUCGAAGUUUCCAGAAGUUGCUAAUCUCUAAGUCCUGUUCGAUGUACUGUUCAAUUUUUUUCCAGCUGCUUUGGAUUCACAUUUUACUGUUUUCUGCUGUAAUAAGUCAGUUUUCAAGGGGGGUAUUAUCAGGAUGCCACUUGUCAUCAUCUCAAUAGGACAAAUGUAAGGUUGAGAUGCUAUAAUAGUAGAUAAGAUGGUUGUAAGUUGUUAGAUGAUAGCUUACAGAGGAAGCUAAGUAGUUUACAUAUAAGAAAGUCGGUUGUAAUUGGGAGGAGGUCAUUGGAAUAAUCUCUGUGUAAUACAAGAAAGUACCAUGCAAUUGUGAAGAAGCCGAGCAAGGUUUUAACAAAGUAAAUCACAUCAAAAGUGAGAGAGCGACUCCGGAAACCAACUGCAUCCGUGUGCUUGCACUUCAAUGCAGAUACAAAACAAAACAUAAUCGUAAAGUUUUCGGACUAUCAUUAAACACUCAAGCAUAACAAAUAUUCACAAUCCAGCAAAUGGGUGUUCAUAAUUUCAAGCAGAACCACCAAAUAAUGCAUCCAUCUGCAUCUCCGUUGUAUCAUUACCCUGUACAAAGAAAGUGGCUCGAAGUCCUGAGAAGCAACAUAACCAACAAUCACACCGCGGCAUUUGGGUGCUCCAUUAGAAAUGGUGGGACUACGACCAUGAAUCCUAGGUAUAUUACGUCUUGCUACAGUUAAAAGGGAUAAGUGCUCAAAAUCAAAUACAUAUUCGUGAUAUAACUUUGGCACUCUUAUUUCUGAUACAUAUUUGUGACUGAGCAGAUAAUCAUAGAUAAAAUCUUUAAAAAAAAAAAAUAUCACAAUUUCAACCCGAAAUUUCAAUGGCUCUGACGUCAACGUUCUUCAACUCCGCCUUCGGAACAGUGACACUUAGAACUCCAUUCUCCAUGGCAGCCUUAAUCUGAUCAACCUUUGCGUUCUCCGGAAGCUGAAACCUCCUCAAGAACUUGCCGCUGCUCCUCUCCACUCUGUACCACUUGUCGUUUUUAUCCUCCUCCUCCACGUUCCUCUCUCCGCUGAUCUUAAGCACCCUGUCGUCUUCCACCUCCACCUUCACCUCCUCUUUUUUCAGCCCCGGAACGUCCGCCUUGAACACAUGGGCUUCGGGGGUCUCCUUCCAGUCGACCCUAGUGUUCACAAAAGCCGAAUUCUCCCGAGAAAAUUCAGGAAAUGCGGAGAGUGAUGAGGAGGAAGGGAACGGGAAAUCCUUGAAAGGGUCCCACAGAUUGAGGGAGAAUGGGUCGAAGACGCUGCUGCUUCCUCGUCGGGAGUUGGGAAUUAGCGACAUUCUGAAAAACCGAUGGGGUUGGUUUGGAUGCAGAGAAAUUUGAGAAUUAUUACAGAAAUAUUGCUUUUGCUGGACUGAUUGCAAAAUUAGCGGAUUUGAUAUAUUUAUAAGGAACCGAAGAAUUUUCUAGAACAGACUUGAGGAUGAGGCUGGAAAUGUAUGUGUGAGUUUCUCGAACUUUCUAGGAUGCUUGAGAAUAAUUGGAACUUUCUUAGGACGCUUAAGAAUACUCCGACGUUUGUGUGAGUUACUCACACAACACGGUUGACUUCAUGAUGAUGAAUGGUGGACCCAAAAACCUAAGUGUGGGGGUUGUAUGGGCCAUUCGAUUUAAUCGGACAGUUAAAACUGAAGAUACUGUGCAAGUUAUUAUUUGGACUUAUUGAUAAAUAAUAAUAUUUACAUUAAAUUAACAAUAUCAACUAAAUAUCAAUAACAUUUAACAUCUCAUGAAGUAGCUUAUCUAAAGGUAAAGGGAGUUAUAGCCCAAACAAGCAAAUUACGUACCAACAGUUAAGUAAUAUGAUGGUCACUUAUUACUACAUUUUAAUGGUAUUUUUAGUUAUUUGUGAGUAAGAGGUCUUAGGUUCGAUUCUCAUCAAAAGCGAAUUUGAAUCAUAUUAUUGUUUAGGGUAAACUGUCAAUUUAGUUCCUGAAGUAUCACCUUAGUGAAAAUUAGCUUCCUAAACUAUUUUUUUCAGAAACAUUAGUCCCUGAAAUAUAAAAAUCUACCAAUUACAUCCCUAAUGUUAUAUUCGAAGCUACUAUAUUCAAUUUUUCGUCAAUUUAAGUUAUAUUACUUGCAUGCGAUACACAUUGGAGGGUAGAUUGGUAGUUUUUCAUAAAGAAAUAGUGUAUGGAGUUAACUUUGAAUGAGAAAUUAAUAAUGUACAAAAUAAUACAUAAAAUAUUAUAAAACACACAUAAAAGGAUCUAAGCCUAAAAAGAAAAAUCAUCCACAAAGCCCAGUCAGUAAGGUUCUAUACGCCAUAAGAUUGAAAUAAAGCAUUUUAUUGUGCACCAUAAGAUUGAAAUAAAGCACUUUGAAUGAGAAUGAUACCUUUUUUAUGGCUAAAUCACCGUGGUUUGGCAGGAAAAAAUGGCGAUUUAGCCAUCAAAAAAGGUACCAUUCUCUUCGUCUCGUCGAGAAGUAUGAUUUUCGUUUUUGAAUAACUUGAUUUCGUUGAGUAUUGAAUAAGUUAUGAACGUUUAAAGUUUACCCAGUUUCUGGCAAGUUUUCAAGUUUUCAAGUUUUCACUCGAACCAGUCAACUUUGAGGCUAUUUUUCGGCCAUCUCCGGCAAUAAUUGGGCUUUGAAAUAGGUAUAAUCCUAUUCUAUAAUUUCCUAUCUUCAAUUUGAUAUAUUAUGGGUCUAAUUUGGUUAAGAAACGAUUGAGUUACGAAGCUUUGAAAAUUGCCCAAACUUCCUCCGGGACACUUAACGGAGUUUUUAAUGGAAUGACCAAAAUGAUGGAUGGUGGAAAAUCUCAGGGACCACUUUUAUCGUUUUAGAAUCUCAGGGACCAAAGUGAUGAGUUAUGCAAAUCUCAUGGACCAUUUUGGCGAUUUACCCAAAAUUUAAUGAAGGUCUGACAUUGCAGAGAAUUCAUAAAUUAAUGUAUGACAUUGUAAUGUUUAAUACAUAAAGUAUGAAAUUGUAGUUCGACCCAUAGUUGAUGUAGUUUUGUAUAAUUUAUCUUCUUCUUUUUCAAAAUGUUGCUUAUCCCCAACUCUCAACAAGGCAACAACAUCUUCGACCAAUUCUCUCUCAACUUGUGUGACCCUUUCAAGGAUUUCCCAUUCCCUUCCUCCUCAUCAAUCUCUGCAUUCCCUGAUUUUUCUUGGGAAAAUCGGCUUUUAUGAACACUACAGUCGACUGGAAGGAGACCCCCGAAACCCACGUGUUCAAGACGGACAUUUUGGGGCUGAAGAAGGAUGAGGUGAAGGUGGAGGUGGAAGACAACAGGGUGCUUCAGAUCAGCGAAGAGAAUAACGUGGAGAAGGAGGACAAAAAACGACAAGUGACAUAGAGCGGUAAGGAGCAGAGUCAAGUUCUUGAGAAGAUUUCAGCUUCCGGAGAAUGCAAAGGUCAAUCAGAUUAAGGCUGCCAUGGAGAAUGGAGUUCUGAGUGCGAUCGUACCAAACACAGAGGUGAAGAAGCCUGACGUCAAAGCCGUUGAAAUCAAUGGUUAAUUAAUAGUGAAAUAAUAAGAUUAUGAAUGUUGUGUACUUAGGAAAUAAGAUUAUGAAAAGAGUGAUUUGUGUAAUUGUUUGUAAAAUAAUGACUUGUGCGUAGUUAAUUUGAUACAAAUUUGGAUUUACGCGUUUGAAAAUAAUAAAAUUUUUAAGUGAGGAUAAUCGGAAAACAGCUUUUGUAGUAAAAAUUUAGAUUUAAACUUUUUGGUAAAGUUCAUUAGGUUUCAUAUUCAAAUGUGAAAGUUAUAUUAUUUUUUUGUUACUUGUCAUUUCACUCUAUAUUUUUUCACGCGGUACCAUACCAUUGCCAAGCCCCUUUCUCACUUCUCCCUCUUCGUCUCUCUACACCUACAUCCCGUCUUCUCUCUCCUCUGUCUCACUUUCCAUGCGCAAAACAUUUUUGUGAGUUUUUAGAUUUUAAAGCUCUGAUUGGAUCAGUUUGAAUGAAAAGUUUUAACCAAGCUUCUAAAACUGGAGAAAGGAUUUCUAGGCAACAAAAGGCAAGACCCAUGGCGUACAAUUGAGAUUUUUUAAAAAAUGGCUUUGAGAUUUUGUUGGUUAGGAUGUCCUUCCCUCAAUUGUGAGCAGCUCUUAAUUUGCUUUCUUCGCAGGCAGGCGAAUUGGAUACAAUAGUAUGCUUUUGAAGGAGUUUCUUAAAAAAACACUUUCAAACAAAUUUGUAUAGAAUUUAUAUGCUACGACUAAUAGUAGCCCUACUAUUGUUCGAAAUAGAUUACCAAUUCUAAUUGUGAUGUUUGUACCGUAAAAUAAUGUGAUGCCUCGAACGAAUGAGGAUGGCUCAAGCCAUGUAUUGUGCCUUGAGAAUGUGGGGUUGGGAAGCAAUGCAUCCAAUUUUUCUUUCACUUUAUCCUUCUUCUUUUUUUGUUAAAGAAAGUACCAUAUGGUUCGCAAGCAAAGUAUCCAAAUCUUUUUCACUUUUUUCUUGAUAAAGAGUAAUACAAAAUGGGUUCGAAAGCAAUGCAUCCCAUUCUCUUUCCCUUUGUCUUUUUCUUGUUAAAAAAGAAUGAAAAUACCUUACUUCAGAAUCACCUCCUCUUGAGGUAAUGCUCGUUAAAUAUUUUUUUUUGCUUCUCUAUUUAUAUUGUUAGAGAACUCUUAUUAACCUUUCCCCAUUGAAGUUAUCUGCUCAUUGCAUAGCUGAGGUAACAUAAUAUGUCCUCCUUGUGCAUGAUACCAUUCAACAUUCAUAUUUUCUAGCAAAUUUGUGAAGUAAUAAUGUCAGUACCAAACACAUGAGUUGUUGUUGAAUAAGGCAUAGAUUUCAGAAUUUCACUUUUACUCUAGCGAACUGUUGCAUUGGGUUGAUUUACAAUACAGGUACGUAUGUACAUCUUGGAAACUUUAUUUCUUUUCAAUAUUUGUUGUUUUAGGUGUUUAUUUUUACCCAUGUGUGACUAAGAAACAAAAGUGUUGGUUUUACAAUAUAUUUUCUAGCAAAUUCGUGAAGUACCAGAUCCAGCAUCAGACAUAUUGUGUUGAACAAGGCAUAGAUUUCACAAUUUCUUUUUUUUCCCCUACCGGUUAGUUGCAUUUGGUUGAUUACAAUACAGGUACGUAUGUUCUUAGAAACUUCAUUUCUUUUCAAUAUUUGUUGUUUUAGGUGUUUGUACUAUAUGUUUAUGCAUUUUGAUGUUCAUCCACGUCAACUGAAAUUUGAGCUAAUCCCCCCCUUAUAAUCGGAUUUUUACUUUUCUCACUCAACACAAAAAGUUUGAAAUCACGUCUGCUAUAUGGUGGUGAAAUGUAAACUAUUAGAAAUUUGUAUGCUGAAAAAUAAUAAUGAGUAAAUAAAUAUACACAUGCACUGAAACAUCAAUUGAAAAUAUAACUUUACCCCUUGAAAUUCAAUUUUCUUUAACUAAAACUCAUCAUAGUAUAUUUUCCUAACAAAUACUCAUUGACUUUACCUCUUGAGAAAAAAAAGGGCCUUCGGGUUUUUUACAUAUAUAUAUUUUUUUUUCACUUCUUCUAUUUAUAUUGUUAGAAAGCUCUUAUUAACUCUUCCCCGUUGAAGUUAUCUGUUCAUAUAUUUGCAUUGCUGUGCAUCAUCUUUCCUCCUUGUGCAUGCUAACAUUCAACAUUCAAAUUUUCUUGCAAAUUCGUGAAGCACCUCUACCAGGACCAGACAUAUGAUUUGUUGCUGAACAAGGCAUAGAUUUCAAAAUUUUAAUUUUACUCUGUUGGACAGUUGCAUUGCGUUGAUUUACGAUACAGGUAUGUAGUACUUCUCGAAAACUCUAUUUUUGUCCAAUAUUUGUUGUUUUAGGCGUUUGUUUUUAUCCUGCUUGACUAAGAAACUAAAAUGUUAGUUUUACAAUCUAGUGCCCACCAGAUAUUCUAUUUCAGGAUCCAGCUCAACAAUUUUAUUGAUUAGAUUUUGACUUCACACAAUUUUUUAUUUUUAGAUGUUUAAAAUAUCCCUAGUAACUUAUGUCAGAUUAAAAACAAAUUUUAAUAUCAUGAUUUCAUUGCAUAUUAAUAAUAAAAGUAUAUGAUUCUAGGGUUUUCAUUUGUUUUAUUUUAUUUUUUUUCCUUUUUAAAUUCCUUAGUUGAUUUUCAAAUUUGCAUAAAUUAGGAUUUUUUUUUUUUGUUUAAUUUUUCCGUUUUCAAAAUAUGGGAGCAUUAGUUACCAACAAAAUAUAAGAAUGUUAUUUUUUUUUCAAAAUUAUUUAAUUAUAUUCUAUAUAAAUAUGGGUAAAUUAUUUUACUACACAUAUAUAAUAACAAUAAAAUGUGCUUAAUGUAUGUAAUAAUACAUGCAAAAUAAUUUACCUACAUAAAGGAUGUGAUUUGGUUCAAGUUUAUUUUACCUACAUUUCACAUAUAGAUAUGGGGAAAUUAUUUUAUGUAGAUUAAAGUACCUACUUAAAGAUGAAGAAUGUGAAUUGGUUCAGGAUUUAAUUUACAAUUAUUUACUAUAUAUAGAUAUAAGUAAGGGGAAUUUUGAUCUAGGUGCAACAUCCCUAGCAUUUAGACUUUUUUAUUAAACUAUUUUCUACAAUUUUGGUGCCACGUUUUCUAAAAUGUCCUAUGUUUGAAAUUCAAAAUUACAUGAAGUGCCAUUGAUCCACAAAUUUAUUCAAAAAGUAGCUCCGAAAUCUAGCCUUCUUCAAACCAAAUUUAUUAUUUUUAUUAAUCCAAAACAAAGACACAUAUUAUUAAGUUAUCAACCAAUGAUAUGUGCCAAAAAUUAAAACUAAAAUAACCAAAACUAAAAUAAAACGUACCAUAAACUAGAAUUAAACGUACCAACACUAAAACUAAACGUACCAAUCAACGAUAUAUACAAAAUAAUUCUCUCACUAAAAUGUAUACAUAAUAAUUUCAAAAUAUAAACAUCCACCAUUUUCAUUAUCUUGAAGGUAAAAUUAUAUUUUAAUUUUAGGAGAAAAAAAUAUUUUUUACGAAGAAAUUAUAACAAAGAGAUCAUUUGAUAGGCAUCAGGUGGGACUUUGUGGCAAGGUUUCAUAUGGUUUCGGGUUUGAACUACGUGAUGCUUAAGCCUUACGUAUGUGUCAUAGAGGAAAACUAACAAAGAUCUACACAAAACUCAAACAAAAUAUAAAGAUAGAGAAAAAAAUAGAUAAGUUUUAUGGCUGGGCUCAAAACUGUCAUAAAUAGUGGGCGAUGGAGGAAGGAGACUUGAAUUUUGAAAAGAACAAUGAGGGCUGCUGGAAAAAAAAAUAAUAAUAAAUAAAUAAAUAAAUAAAAACUAGAGGAGGUGUGGGGUCUAUGAUAAUGGGAUAAGGAUGAAUGAAAAAACAAUAAAACAAAAAUUUAAAGAAAUAAAAGAUUUGAAAAAACCCAAUAUAUCACGUUACUUGCUGUAUCAUGUAAGUUUGACAAUAAGUUUAGAAUAAUGUCGUUCAAAUUCGCUUUUGGCGAGAAUCGAACAUAAAAUCUCUAACUUACAAGUAAAUAGAAAUAUCACUAAACCGUAAUAGUAAGUGAUAAUACAACUUAGAUUUAAACAGGACAAAAAUAUAUGAUUAUUAAUGUUGUGUUGGGGUGCUUCUUUGGUUUAGGCAUCAGAGCACUGAGCGCGGGACUUACAAAAGCCACCAACAAGGAGAAGCAUUUCGGCCGUUGUCUUUGAUUUCAGAAGGAAAUGGAAAUUAUAAUUGCAAUUGCCUCAAAAAUUGGAGAGUCCUUGGUCACACCAAUAGGAACAGAGUUUGGCUAUUUGGUUAAUUACCAUUCCAACCUUGAAAGUCUUAGGGGUGAGAUAAAAAAGCUUUUUGACAAGAAAGAUGGAGUGCAGGGAUUGGUAGAUGCUGCCAAAAGGAACGGUGAAAUCAUCAAACCUGAUGUUCAGAGUUGGCUAAAGAAUGUGAACGACGACAUGGUCAAAAAAGUGUUGCAGUUUGAGGAUGAAAUUAACAAGAAAAGGCGAUGUGUGUAUCGAUGGAGCUUGAGUCGGAGAGCCUAUAAGAUUAAACAAGAAGUUCUUCAGCUCCAAAACGAAGGAAGAUUUGAAAAUGUGGCCCAUCCUGCACCUCCACCAGAGAUAUGGUCAACAUUUGAAAAUGUUUUUAAGGAUUUUAAGUCCAGAAUGGCAAACAUGAAUGAGGUGAUAGAGGGUUUGACGAGGGAAGAAGUACGACUGAUUGGGAUUUGUGGAAUGGGGGGUGUGGGUAAAACCACAAUGGUAAAAGAAAUCAUCACGAGAUUGGCAAAACUGAACCUGUUUGAUAAAAUUGUAAUGGCAACUGUGUCUCAAAGUCCAAGUAUUAGGACGAUCCAGUCGGAAAUUGCAGAAGAAAUAGGUUUGGAAUUGAAGGAGGAAUCCGAGUCCGGAAGAGCACGAAGGCUACAUGGGAGACUCAUGGAAAUAAAGAGGAUCCUGAUUGUAUUAGAUGAUGUCUGGGCAGAGCUUGAUUUUAAGGCUAUAGGACUCCCUUCUGGAGAUGCUCAUAAAGGGUGCAAAGUUUUGUUGACAUCACGAGAUUCGGACGUUUGCAACAGGAUGCGAAGUCAACAAAUUAUUGCAGUCCCGAUUUUAACAACAGAAGAAUCACAUGAGCUCUUUCGAGAAAUGGUGGGUGAAUCCUUUAAUGAUCCUGAUUUACGUUCCACUGCAAAAGAUGUAUUAAAGGAAUGUGGAGGUUUACCUAUUGCAAUUGUAACUGUUGGAAAAGCCCUAGAAAAGAAAAACAAACGUGAAUGGGAUGAUGCCCUUAAUCAGUUGCGAAAUUCUACCCCAGUGAACAUCCCUGGAGUGAAUGACAAAGUUUAUUCUAGCAUAAAAUGGAGUUAUGAUAGAUUGGAGAGUGAUGAAGCCAGGUUAUGUCUUUUACUUUGUUGUUUAUUUCCAGAAGACUAUGAUAUUCCAAUUGAAUAUUUGGUUCGAUAUGGGUGGGGUCGAGGAUAUUUUAGCAGCUGCGUUACUUUGGAAGAUGCAAGAAAUAGAGUGCAUUCUUUGGUUGGCCAACUAAAAAGAAGGUUUUUGUUGCUAGAUAGUGGCAAGAGUGAGGCUACAAAAAUGCAUGACGUAGUUCGUGAUGUUGCCAUAUGGAUUGCUUCAAGAGAUGCACAUGGAUUUUUGAUAAGAAGUGAUGCUGAAAAUAAAGGGUGGCCAAAUUUAGCUACAUAUGACCAUUACACUACAAUCUCACUUGUUGGCGAUUUGGAGAUUCAAGAUGGUUUGAAAUGCCCAAAACUUGAGCUUCUACAGACGAUGGAAGGACUUUUUUCAGAAGGUAGCAUGGACAACAUUUGUAAGGCGAUGAAAGAACUGAAGGUUUUAGCUUUGGUGCAAAUGAAAAACCGAGGCUCAUCAAGCUCACUAGGAUUACUGAAGAACCUGCGGACCUUGACCCUAAAUGGGUCUAAAUUUGAUGGCAUGUCUACUGAUGUUAUUGGGAGUUUGGAGAAUUUAGAAAUCCUCAGCUUUCGGGAUUGUGAUUCCAUGCGUGAGUUGCCGAGGGAAAUUGGACGACUUAAACAGUUGAGGUUGUUAGAUACGACAAACUGCAGGAAUCUUGAGGUGAUUCCACAUGGUAUCUUCUCCAACUUAUGUAGACUUGAAGAGUUGUAUAUGAUGGGUAGCUUUAAUAAAUGGGAAAUUGGAAGAGGAAGAGAAGAUAAGGGGAUGGCAAGUAUUUCUGAGGUGAUGUCUCUGUCCGAUCAUUUGAAGGUUCUAGCCAUAGAGAUUCCCAGUGUCAUCCACUUGUUGCCAAAAAACAUAGUCUUGAAAAGCCCAACAAUAAGAUUCGGUAUAUGCCCUGCAAGACGGACAGAAGCAACUUAUGCAUUCAAAGAAUGUUUGAGGACAACUUAUGCAUUCGAAAAUUGUUUGAUGAUUGAAGAAAGUGAUGCAAGGGAGUUGGAGGAGAGUCAAGCAGUUAGACUUUUGUUGAAAAAAUCUAAAAAAUUGUAUUUGUGGGAGGUUAAGAAUUUCUCUGUCCUCACUGAUUUAGACCAAGAAGGAUUUCAAGAUUUGAAAGAAUCUUUGGAUAUGUCCAAAUAUCGAGUAUCUUGCAAAUGGAACAAGUGGGUUUUUGACCAACCUAAGAGUCCUUCGAUUGCAAUUUUGUGGUGUCUUAAAAUACGCCUUUUCAUUAUCAGUAGCAAGAAACUUGGUAUAGCUCCAGAAAUUAAAUAUUAUUGGAUGCAAUCAAAUGGAAGAAAUUGUGUCGAAGCAGGGGAGGGAACAUGAGGGGGAAGCCGAUAUGAUAUCUUUCCAUAAUUUAACCAAUUUAACUCUCAAGGUUCUAGGGAGUUUGGUUGGUUUCUUCCAAGCCAACAAGCUACACUCCAACCAAGAGGUAUGUCCCACUCUCCAAUCUCUAUGAUAUGAAAUUUGAAAUUGUUUAACUGAUAAUGAUUUUUCUUUUUCAGGAAACAACGGCAAGGGUUGAGCAUCAAUCUGCAGGCAUAUUUGAAAAAGCAAUAUUUCCAUCAAAGUGCAUUUCAUGGUUUCCAAGUUUAGAAGAGGUAGAAUUGGAAGAUAUGAAUUUUGAAGGCGUGCUAUUUGAUCUGAAAAUCCAUGGCCAGACAACUCCAAUAUUUCCCCAGUUACGUAACUUGGAGAUAUGGGCUUGUUCGUUUACACACUGUGGAAAAACAUUCUGUCUGGAUUUCAGGGCUUCCAAAAUUUGAGAUAUUUGAUGAUAUUUAGUUGUUCUGGUCUAAAAUAUGUGUUCUCGCAUUUAAUUGCCCGAGAACUUUUGAAUCUUGAAGAGGUAAAGAUAAUUGGCUGUCCGGACAUGGAAACUAUAGUCAGAAUCACAGAGGAAAAUGAAGAAGAGGCGACAAAAUACAUGAUUUUGUUUCCGAAACUGAACACAUUUGAACUAGAAUACCUGCCUCGUCUCACAAGUCUUUGUCCAGAGGGAUUUACAUUUCUGUGCUCAUCCACAAAAAAUAUGCGCGUGAAAAUUUAAAGACAUUGGAUGCUGUAAUUCCACAAAGAAAGAAGUUGGAGAAUAACUUGAAGAAGGAUUCAACAAGUCGUGAUUUCAGCACUUCUCCAACACGUUCAUCGAAUUGGUGCCCUGCUGGAUGUGGAUGCGCACCAUACUCAAGACCAAACGCCCACCGCCCCAUUGAAAUAUUGCCACGUCCAAUUAAUUUGGAGGUAAGCUUUUAAAUUAGGUUCAAUUAACCUCCAUAAGUACAACUUUUAAUUAGUAUUGUAUCAUCUUGUUGAUCGUGUUUAAUUUUCCAGGUUACACCAACUAAUCUUGAGGACUCAAAUGAUGAUGAUAAUCUCGAAAGUCUUAUUGUACGUGAGUGUGUAAAUCAAUGGAAGUGAUUUUCCAACUCAAGGGACCGAAGCAUGAAGAAAAUAGUCACUCCGUUGAAGCAUUCAAUAAAUUGAGGUUCUUGAAGUUAUAUACAUUGCCAAGUUUAACGCGUGUUUGGGAAACGGAUAGUUCACAACCGAUGUUGACAGGAAGCAGCUUCGGAAACUUGAAAUCGCUGAAGGUCGGUUUUUGCAACCAGUUGAAAUACUUGUUUUCAUCGUCCACAGUCAAACUUCUUGUGAGUAUAGAGGACAUAGAAGUUGAAUUCUGUGAGAAGAUGGAAGAAAUCGUUGCCGCAGAAGAAGAAACUGAUGAAAUAAUUACGUUACCUAAAGUGAAGAUCAUGUGGCUUCGAAGUCUGCCAAAACUCAAGUAUUUUUGUGGUGAAGCUUAUACUUUGAAGUUGCCGUCUUUGGAGGUCUUGGUGGUUACUGACGUGCAAAACUUAAGCCUAUUCGCUCCAAAGCUUAUUGCCACACAUCCCCGAUUGCAAGUACGCACCGCGUUGGGAGUGGUUGAAUGGAAGGGGGACCUCAAUGCCACUCUAAGGAAUAUUUUACGUCACAAGGUAUGCUUUAAUAUAAGGUUUUUUUAAUUUCCAAUCAUUUAUGGCAACACCACAAAAAUUUUGACAACAAAUUUAGGCAAAGCAUAAUCAACAGUUCAGAUUUAGUUUGACGAAAGUGUAAUCAAAACUUAGUCAAAAACUAUAUACACACACACACACACAUAUAUAUAUAUAUAUCUGUAUAUAUGUAUGUGCGUAUGUGCACACUAGAGUGUAUUUAGAUAUGUUUUUCUUCUUUUGAAAACUCAAUUAUAUCUCAAGAAAACUUCUGUCUUUUAUUUCUAACACAGGAAGGGUGAAGAUGAUGAAAUCGACAGGGAGGACGAACACAAUUAAUUGAUCAAGCACAAAGGUUAACAUGUCUCCAUCUUCAACUUCUUCUAGGUUUAGUAAAAACUGCUAUUUUCGGAAACAAAUAUAUACAAUAAGCAUAACCGUUUCAACUUAUUUGAGUUUCAGUGAUUUCUAAUAUUCUCCAAUGCAUGCAGAACAACAAUUCAAAGAAGGUUGUGGCUUCAACAAUUCGUUUACUAUCUCAUAUGUACAAACCAAUAAAAUGUCAUUUGUUGCACCAGACUUUCAUUCCAAAAAUACUAUUUGUGUUGCUUAUUUUAUGCAUGUAUGAUAAAUUUCGAGUGCAAUUGUUACUGUUUGUAUCUAAGUUCGCAUUAUUAAUGUUUGUUUAUUUGCCCGAAGAAAUGAGAAAUGCUUAUGUAAAAAUAAAUGAAUUAAGAUUAAAACAAGAAAAACUUUACACUACUCAAACUUGCAAACACUCAAACUACAAGCAUUAUGAAUAAACACGGAAUCAGGCUACGCAAUUGCCUUCAUCAUAACAUGAUUUUGGCCCCCAUUUUUCUAAUUUCCUACCACAUUUUCACAUUCUUUCCAUGAAUUUUAUAAUACCUAUGCAAAAGAGUUCAAUCUAGGGGCUCCAAAAAUAUCACAGAUAGAACAAUUAACACAAAAAGGUCGUACCCAGUGCACAAGGCUUCCGCUUUACGCAGGGUGGGUCUGGGAGAGGUGAAUGUCGGCUAGCCUUACCCCCAUUUAUAAAGAGGCUGCUCCCAAGUCUCGAACCUGAAACCUACCGCUCUCAUGGGCGAAGGCACUUGCCAUCGCACCAAGUGCGACCUCUUAGAACAAUUAACACAAAUCAAAUAAAAAUUUGAAAUCAAGAAUCGAUCCCAAAACUGAAAGUUGAAAUUUUGGAAAAGAACUUACAUCGGAGGACAGCCCACCAGGACAGGAUCAUUUAUACCUCUUGGGUCAAGAAUACUGGCAGGAAAACCACGGUCACCGUUUCUUUGAUCUGAAAUUCAGGAAACUUGGCUACGAAUCUAUAGAAACUAACUUGGGAGUUGGAAAGAGGACGGAAAGAGGAGUCUGGAUAUGUAAUUUGACGGCCGUUGGUGACCGGUGGACGAAAAUAAACUUCAUGCGAAAACAAGACCAGAUUGAGGUAAGAAAGAAAAAUACAUAGGCAGAAAUAACAUGUCAGUCAGGCAAGACAAGUAAUUGCAACCAUAACACAACACAAUGAAGAAACAUACCAUGAGGAUUUUGAACAAACAUAAUGAAGUGUAACCAAGAGCAUACAAAUAUCAAAAAUAUAGAAAAGAAUGCUAUACAAUCACUAUAAGUGAUUUCAAAGGCCAUCUUCUAUUUCUGUUUCUGGGAAAAAGUCAUGUCGUCAAGAUAUCAUUCCAUUUCCUUACCAUGAUGAGUAAAAUGAAAUUUGAACUUGCUUGCUGUUCUUGCAUAUCUUCUCCUCAUCCUGGUUACCAACCCAGCAAGUCUUCACCAAUCCAUCUAUGAUGUAUGUACGUCAUUGUAAUAUCAUGUGAUGCAGCUUACUUACUACUAGAUUAUAUUUCCUGUAGCCUAAGUUUAGAUAUUUCCUUUGGAGAGGGUAUAGCGUGCAAGGUCCUAAGAACUUUACCAAAUUAUCAUCCUUCGAGUAUAGAAAAUCUUCCAAAUGUAUAAACGAAAUAAACUUGUGACGGAACCAAAGAAUGAAAAUGCUUCUCAUCAUUUACUAAUCCAUAUGCAUAAUUUAAACAUUUUCAACGUAGGAGCUCAAUUCUUGUAUACAGACACACUUCCUUUAGCUUGCAUUGGACCUCGCACUUUCCACUAAUGUAAAUGCCACAUCAAAAGUGAAAGAGCGACUCCGGAAACCAAUUACAUCCAUGUGCUUGCACUUCAAUGCAGAAACAGAAACAAAACAUAAUCCUAAAGUUUUCGGACUAUCAUUAAACACGCAAGCAUAACAAACAUUCACACAAUCCAGCAAAUGGGUGUUCAUAAUUUCAAGCAGAGACACCAAAAGUCAAAGAAAAUAAUAUAAAUUAAAUCUGAAAAUUUUUGUACUCAAGUAUCUCCCUUGAUCUUGAACUUAGUCUCAGCACAUUGCUUAUGAGCAGCACCCAAAUCCCCCUUGCAAGAACACCCCAAGUCAAUCGGGACCCAGAGGCAGGGUCGGUCGGUCCCACCACCUCCCUCCAAACCCAAGUCAUUCCUGCAAUUUCUCUCAACUUUUACUCAAAUGCACCACCUUCUUCACCUCCGAAACCCCACUCUCUCCACUGAACAACACUGGCUGUCGUCAGAGCCAUCUGAGUCCGACGACGCGCCACUGCCUCCGGUGGCCAAACGGCGGCGGUGGUGGAUUGUCUCGGGAGCUGACAUUCGUGAAACCCAGAAAGAGAAAUGGCGUGAAAUGGUGAAGUGUUAAAGUUGCGGCAUUCAGAGAUCAAACAUGGUGGGGUUAUAGAGCAGGUGGAGAUGUUUUUUCUCUAUCCUCAAUCAAAAUAUCAAUGUCUCCCUCCUCCCUCGAUCACUGUCUUUAUUUGUGUGUCAGUUUCGAGCAAUGGCUUUGCUGAACGAGAGAGGGAGAGGGGAAGGAGUUCCGAAGCAAAUUAUGAGGAGGGUGGUGGGGGCAGACUGCUCCGAUCACAGAUAUAUUUCAAGGAUCACAAUUAAAGACUUGCAAUCUUUUAAGGCUGCCAGUUGUGGGACACUCGCAGUCAGACACACACAGAUGGAGACAAAACACAAGCAAGACUUGUAAAAGACUUUGAAUUAGAAUUAGUAAAUUAGUGUGUGUAGGGGUGGCUCUGUAUGGGGUUCCAAACUGAAAAUGGAAUUUCGAAUCCCAAAUCGAAAAUUUUCAAAACGAGAAUUUGAAAACCAAUCUCAAAUCAAAAUUUCGGUAUUCCUAAUUUUCGGGAUUCACAAAAUGUUUUCGAUAUCAGGAUGGGUCGGGAUUGAAUUUUGGGUUUUGGGCUGAAAUUUGAGUUCAUCAUAACAUGAUUUUGGCCCCAUUUUCUAAUUUCCUACCAUAUUUUCACAUUCUUUCCAUGAAUUUUAUAAUACCUAUGCAAAAGAGUUCAUUCAUUGCUAUUUCAAAACAAUACAAGGUUCUACAGAGUUCAAUCCCACAUCAUGUUAUAGACAUGCUUCAUCUACAGAGUGCAAUACCAGAAGUCUCAUCUCCGACAUUCAUACAGAAUAUCGAAUAAAAAUUCGAAAUCCAAAAUCAAUCCCAAAAUUGAAAGUUGAGAUUUUAGAAAAAUAACUUACAUUGGAGAACAGCCCACGAGAAGAGGAUCAUUUCUACCACUUGGGUCGAGCUCCAAUUCCGGCGAUAUGGCCGGAAGUUGGCCGGAAAACCCUGGGUCACCGUUUCUUAAAUUUGAAGUUGAGGAAAAUCGCCUACGAAUUUAUAGAAACUAACUUGGGGAUUGGAUAAAGGACGGUAAGAGCAUUCUGGAUGUGUCGUUUGAGAGCCUUUGGUGACCCGUGGACGACAGAGCUGUUGCGCCGGCACUCGGCAGUCGUCGGCUUGCUGUUUAAUGGGGCUCCUGUUGCGGCUCAAAAGAUGAGGAGGAGAGAGGAUACGGGAGGAGAGAUGGGUUUCUCCCACUUUUUACAUCUUAAUUCUUUUCUUAUUCUUUUAAUCUUUUCCGUAUUUUUUUUAGGAUGAUUUUAAAUGCGGUACUUAACUAUAAAUAUUCUUUGAUUAAAACCUUGUUGGUUUUCAAUUUUUGAUCUAAGCCCUUGAAAUUAAUGUGAUAAUUUAUUUUUAUGUACGUUACUAUAUUUUUUAAAAUAAAAAAUGGAAAUUUAUAGUUGUUUAUAUUAAUGACAUUUUAAAUAAAAAACCAUAAUUUGUGGGAUUAAAAAUAUUAAAAUAUAAACAUACUAUUAUGUGUGUGUGUACAAACAUGGGUACAUUCAUAAAAAAUUAACCAACAAAUUAGUGUAUCAAAACAUGGGUACAUUCUUCAAAAUCAUAAAAAAAAAUAAUAAUAAGAUAUUAGGCUUGAUAAAAUUAGUAAAUUUAUUUGAUUAAACUUAACAUGGAUACAUUCUCAAAUCAAAGAAAAAAAAAAUGUACCCAUAUAAGUUUAAAAAUGGAUUAGAAAAAUAAAUAUUGAAUAUAUUUUAUAUAAAAAAAAUGGUAAAUUUUACAUAUAACAAAUUGGUAUAUUUAAGAAUGAGUACAUUUUAAGAUUAAAAAUUUGAAAAAAAAUUACAUGAAUGGUACAUAUAAUUAGCAUGGGUACAUUUAGCAAAAUUAAAAAUGGGUACAAAUAAAUAAAAAAAUAUGGGUACAAAUACAAAUAAAACUUUAUAAAAUAUGGGCACAAAAAAAAAUAUAUGGGUAUAAAUUAAAACUGAAAAGAAAAUUGAUAAAAAUUAAGAAAAGGUUGGAAAUUAAAAAAUGGUACAAACUAAAUAUAAAAAUAUAUGAUAAAAAAUUUAGCCAUAAAUAUAAAUAUAUUAAUUGUAACGUUUUUAACAUUAAGUGAAUAUAUUUAGAAAUAAAAAAUAUUUUAUUAUUGAAAUAAUUAAUGAUGUUAUUAAUACCAAGGACCUUGAUAAAAAAAUGAAAAGGAAUAAGAUCAAAGGAGUAGGAAAAAAAAGGAUGAGAACCUAAUUUCUCAUUUUUUAUAUAGAAUAUACGAUAUAAUCUAUCACCAAAAUUGAUUUUGGUAUGUGAGAUGAGAUGGAAUACGUUUUAAUGAUAAUUGUGACUAGAAGUAAUAUAAUUCAAAUUCGUAUUUGAUGAUAAUUGAAUAUAAAAUUUUUCACUUACAAAUUACAAAUAAAAAAAAAUACCAUUAAUUUUACUUUUAAUACACAUCUAAAUAAAAAGAAACAAAAUGAAAAGAAAAAUAAAUAAAAUAAUUUGAAAUAGAAAUGAAAAAUAAAGGUAAACUGACAGAGCCCACCAUGAUUUGCUGGAUUUUGCAAUAUGGCAUCCAUGAUUUGCGGAGCCCACCGUCGCAAAGAAGAAGAAUUUGGAAAGCUCAAUCCUUGUCUUUUUCUUAUAUAAGUGUCGUUUUAAUGAACCGAAUGUUCCGAUUCCAGCAUCCAAAAUACCCCAAUGUGAAUUUUUUUCAUACUACAAUUGGAUUUUAUCUUAAAAUUAUGAAGUUUUGGAGCAUUGGUCACGCCAUCAAGCUCCUUUGUGUUGGAUUUCGUUAGAGAUCGUAAUUAAUCAAUCACCCAUUUUGUGUCUCCCUCCAAAACAUUAAAUUGAAACUUGAACUCCGUAGCAAAUAAGAGCCCAAUUUGACAACCAAAAUCUUCAUCAUUCGAGCAUCAAUGUUCUCUUAAAUUCGUUGUGAGCAAACCACCAUGAAAUCUCCUUCACGUGCAUCUCAUAAAAAUAGAACGAUACAGAGAAGAUUAGUGUGACUCCUAAGCUAGGAUUACACGUAUGAAUCGCAAAAUAGUUCCUCCUCCACUCUUUGAUUCUCUCUUUUCACUGGCUAACAAUAUUUUACUCUACCUUUUCACUCCUAAGUAAGAAAUAACAUCUUUCUGAAAAUUUCACAUUUGACCUUAAUUUAUCUCUUUUGCACUAUUUGACUGAACGACACAAAUUUUGAUUGUCUAAAUAUUUAUAUCAAACUACAAAUAAUAUUGAUAUUAUAUAUUAAUAAUGUAACUGGAAUUGUAGUACCCAACAUAUCUAUCUUGAAAAAAAAUUUGUUGUCUAUGAAGUGGCCUACUCGACCCUCUCUUGUACUCUUAAGUCUUGUCCAUUUUGAGUUUGUGUAAAUAGAUCAUUGUUAACAAUUGGCAUUCAGUAUUGUGAUUUAGUGGUAUUCAUCAUCACUUGUAAGAAAAAAAAAUUGGAGUGACGAGUUUGUGUAAUCAUUGUAUUAAAGAAAAAAAAAUUUUUAAAAAAAAAAAUUUUGGUCGGACAAAAACACGAAAAUGCCCUUAAAGCCCAGAGUGCCCCCACUACCCUACCCGCUGCCUGCAAGUUCUUUCCUCGCCUCUGUUUCCCUCGCUUUCUCCCUCUCAGACAUUUGAGGACUCAAAACCUCUUUUAACCCUCUCCUUCUCACUCUCAAAUGUCACCCUUUCUCACUCAUACGCACGCCCAGUGAUCUCUGAAGCACCAAUUUCUCUUCCCUUUGGCUCUCUGCAUCUCACCAGAGGUAAAAAGCCCCUGUUUUAUUUUAUUUUAUUUUAUUUUUUACUUUUUCCUCUGUAAAUUUAAUCCAAUGGAUUUUUCGUGUACCCUUGCAGUAAUACAGGAAGAAUUUUGUAGUAUUUCUGGUUGUUGGAUGAUACUGGAAUAAUUAUUGGGAUUUUGAAGAAUUUCUGGUUCGUAUGAUAUAUUUGCUAAAAGACCCAAAAUUUUGAAGCAGAGCGGCCAUGGAAAGGUGUUUGAAAAGAAAAUCAUAUGAUGAGUCAAUGGAGUCGUCAUCGUCUCCGAAGGAGAAGGACAAAAGCUCGAAACAAGCUUGCAUCGAAAUCAACUUGGAAGAUCUUCCUGUUGAUCCCUUGCUGCGCACUCGAAUUUGGGAUUAGCAUCCAAAUGUUCGAGUUCGAGAGCAAGUUCGAGGAGUACGUAUACAAAAAGGUCAUUUUCAGACUUCAUACCAGGACUUCCCCCACAAGAAUACUAGUGGGGGACCGAGAAGGUUUAUAUCUGCUUGGUUUAUGAGUUUCCGACUGGUUGGAAGAUAGUAUAGUGAAAGAUGCUUCAUGUUGUCUAUGCUGUUAUCUGUUUAAGCUAAAUACAGGAGAGCAAGCCCGCGGUGAUUGCUUUGUUAGUAAAGGGUUUUGGAAUUGGAAGAAGGAAAGGUUGCAUGGUCAUGUUGGAGGACGGAAUAGCACCAAAAGAAUGUAAAACUAUAUUGGGUGUAUCAAUUGUUUGUAUGAGGUUUAUUUUGCAUCAAGGGCUUGUAUAUUGCGGAGACGAUGAAUAUGAAGGUUCAAACAAUGAAGGAGUUUUUCUUGGACUCUGGAAUUACCAAUGUGGUCGCCACGAAGAGUUAAAAGCUGUCACAUUGAGAAAUCCUCCAUUAGGUCUGAAGUUGGCUUCACCUGAUACUCAGAAGGACAUCAUAAUUGCUUUUUCAAUGGAAAUAUCAAUGCAAUCGUUAAAGAUAUUGGUGGUUCGCACUUUUCCAUUCUUAUCGAUGAGCGUCAUGACUUGUCUUCAAUGAAGCAAUGGACUAUUGUAAUACGUUUUGUGGAUAAAGGUCAAGUGAUUGAGCCUUUUUUAUGCAUUGUACAAGCCACUGAUAAUACUGCUGACUCACUUAAGGUGGCUAUUGAUGAUUUCUUUUCUACCCAUGGAUUAAGCAUGUCAAAGCUAGGGGACAAGUAAUAUGCUUGGUGAGUUGAAUAGUAUUAAGACACUUACAAAUUACAAUGAAGGAGAAUGAGUGCAUUUUACGUUCGUUACUUUACUCACGGCAGCGGGAGACACGAAUUUUGCUCUAUUUACGAGCUUGCCACCGGGCUGAUUUCAGCCCAAAUUUCGCUUUAUUUACAAGAUUGCCACUGGGCUUAAGAACGGGUUUUCAGUCUUUCGGUUGGAUCCGGGCUUUUGACUCGGGGAGAGAGAGGGAAGGGGGCAGAAGGGUUGACGGGUUGGAUGGAGAGGUUCGCCAGGAUUUGGGGGAGAGGAUUUUCGGCAGGGAGGUGCGGGUGGGUGUGCCUGUGGCUGAUGCAUCGGUCAGAGGGUUGUUGGUGGAGGAGAGGAGGGGGACAGAGUGAUUGACAGAUUGGAGAGAGAUGGGAGCUACGGGUUUCGACUGAGAGAGAGAGAUUUAGCUAGGUCAUCUGCCAGGACCUAUGGCAUUUUCUCCAAUUUUAGAGAGAGAGAUGGACAGAGAGAGAGAGGAGAAAGCAUGGCUGUGUGCAUUUUUUGGGGUUAAUGGGUUACCGCACAGGGUCGGUGAGGAGAGAAUGGCAGAGGGAGGGAAUGUUGUCAUCCCCUUUUCAUUCCCUCUUUUUCUCUCCCUACUCUAUCUCUGUAACCAUCCCUCCCUUUUCUCACUCUAUAAUUUCCCUCAAAUCCCCCGUCGAUUCUCUCUCUCGCCAUUCUCAGUCUCGCCAGCCGCGAAUCCUUACAGCUCCAUGCUCCGCCUCCAGAUUCGUCGAGAUGAGAGCCCCAAGACCGUCGCCUGCACCACCGUCUCAGAAAAGUGAGCCAAAAUCUCGCGAGAAUCAGGCUGCACACGAGCGGAUCUAAAGGCCAAACCUCCGAUCUUGAAGGUAAAAAUUUCUCAUCCUCUCUCUUCGAUUUCAUAUAUGUUGUUAGAUUAAAAGGGAAAAUAUGAGAACUAACUCAAGCAAAUGUUCUGGAUGUAAGCUAAAAGAUCAAUUUAACUUUUCUUCCCUGUCAAUUUAGUGCUUUUUUCUUUUCUUAUUACUUUUAGGAGUUAAUUUUUGAGAUAUAUUAUGACUAACAAAUUUACUGUUGCCUCUGUCAUCUUUUUUGCUGAAGAUUUCUUUUUUGAAAACUGUUGCCGUGACAAAAUAAAUUUACAAAUUGCUAAUUUUUCUGUUUUGUAUAAAAAAAAAAUCUUUGUUCACUCUACCUGAAUAGGUACACUUGACUGAGAAGGAAAGUCUUUUCAUAUUAAAUCCAUGUUAGCCUGGCCGCUGCCGCCCUGGAACCAUCGCUCUUCGGUAAGUUUUCAACAUAGUAUAGUUCAAAUCCUCUUAAUCAUGUUCUUGAAUUUUACUAUAUGUAUCAUGUUCUUUGCAUUUCAUUAUUUGAACUCUGUUAUUUGAAUUUGGUUACCUAAAUCGUGCCUAAUAUUUGAUGCGGCCAGUUGCUUUGUAUGCCUGGCUGGUGUGAUUUGGGAGUGUUUUUAGUCAAUGGGAGACAUAGGACAAAGGUGUGGGCAGCGAAGUCAAGUGGGAUUAGGAAUUUAGGAUAGUAGAAUUUUUGCUAAUUUAUGGGAUUAGAAGUCUUCCUUUAUUUUUGUCUUGGUGUGAUCAAUUGUAACCAAGAAGUUUCAUUAAAAUUGAGGUAGUGAACCAACUAAUUUUCAACUGUUGUUUAUCUACAGUCUUCUCCAUUCUCUUGGUCUUGGACCAAGCAUGAAAUCCCAAGCACUAUAUCACCAUAAAGCAAGCAAGCUGAAAAGCAAUCCAACAAACCCUUUUUCCAGAAGCACUUAACAGAACCUUUCUAUGGGUUAAUUGUUGUUUCAAUUAUACCAGAUUGAAAACGAGUAUGGAACCAUCAAGCAUACGGGGCCGUUGUCCAAACCUAUAUUAAGUGGGCAGCAAGCAUGACUGUUUGUCUCUAAAUACAGGGUGCCCUGGGUCAUGUGGCAACAAAAAGAUGCUCCUGCAUCCGUAGUGAGGCUUUUGUAGUCAGUUUUCAUUUGCAUUGUAUUGACUUUGACCUUUUUGAUCAAAGUCCAAUAGCAAUAGGUGCAGUAAUUCUCAAACCCUAAUUUUAACUGUUUGGAUCAAUUGCGUUUUUUUUAAAAAAAAAAAAUUGCGUUGCUUCUACUAGCUAUAUAUUGAUGGGUUUCGGAGUGUUUUUUGUUUUGUGACUGGAUUUUGCUGUGUCGGAUUAGUUUGGUUUGCUAACUUAUGUUAUUUUUUAUGGGUUUGGUUAACAUGGUUUUCAUUCCUUUUCAGAUUUGUUUCGACACACACUACUCGAAAUUUGCAGGAUGCUAUGGUGAUAUUUUCUACGAUCUAAACAAAUUAACUAUUUAAUGUUAGUAGUUUGUGUUAUAUAAAGCUACGCAUGUUAGGAGUAAAGUAAUUUAUUAUUUGUUCUUAGCCCUUGGUUUAUAAAUCCCAACUUUAAAAUUCCAAGUAGAUGUGUCUGUUAAUCGAUUGCAUUUGGGAUGGAAAUGGUUUUGAAUGAUUUGGAUUUUCAUUAAUUUUAAUUCAUCUGCUAAUCAUAGUUUCAUGUAUUAGAUAGUUGCUUUGCUCUCACAAAUUUUGUUGGUAGGGGUUCAGCAAAGCUUUCUAGGGCUAAAUCUUCAGUUUGCUGUUGGGUAUGUUUACUUUAUGCUUUUGUUUUUUGUUUUUUGUGUUUUUGUUUUUGUCUGGAGUAAAUAUGCUUAAGAUGUCACAUGAUUAAAGGUGGAGAAAUCACCGUCCCUUUUUUCGUAGAAAUUUGUAAUUUUUUUUAAAAAUAUGUGUGGGUUGCUGAAACUAAUUAUUUGAUCAGUGUGAUUUUUUGUAAUUGGGAAUUUAGGACCUUGGUAACUUGAUUGAAUAGGAAUUUUGUGAUUAGGAAUUUGUGGGUUUACCUCCGAAUUUAAUCCCUUUCUUAAGAGGGAUCUAGCCGUAACACACAGCAGCAAUGGGGGAAGAGAAGCGGCACCAGGUUCGGCGAUCAAUCUGGAGAGGAAGAGGUCAAUUUUGAGCACAAGUCCAAUCCCCGGCCCAAUUCUGUAUGAUCAUCUAAUUUCAUGUUUCCUUUCUAUUCUGAUUCCAAAAGUAUGUUUCGGAAUGAUUAGGGUUUCAGUUUUUGUUUUAAUUUUUGAGCACAAGUCCAAUCCCCGGCCCAAUUCUGUAUGAUCAUCUAAUUUCAUGUUUCCUUUCUAUUCUGAUUCCAAAAGUAUGUUUCGGAAUGAUUAGGCUUUCAGUUUUUGUUUUAAUCUUAGUUGAAGGAAGAUAUAGGGUGUGGUUUUGUUAAUGGCGGUGGAUGAUUUGGAUGAAAGUAUGUAUCCUCGGGAUUUUUUUGCUUGCAGUUGUUUAGGCCAGGACUUGGUGCGAUGGCAAGUGCUUUCGCCCAUGAGCGGUAGGUCUCGGGUUCGAGACUUGGGAGCAGCCUCUCCAUAAAUGGGGGUAAGGCUAGCCGACAUUCACCUCUCUCAGACCCUACGUAAAGCGGGAGCCUUGUGCACUGGGUACGACCUUUAGUUGUUUAGGCCAGGACUGAAGAAGUUUUGUGGAAUGAGAUUCUUAUAUCGAAUUGUCUCUCUGUUUAUGGCAGGUAAUAAAGGUGGUCCAACUAGUAGCUGAUAAAAUGUCUUUAUAUAUAUGCUUUUGUUGAUUUCUGCUGCGAUAAUGAGGGAAUCUAGAGGAUCAAGGCCAGUCAAUCUGAGGUUUGUACUACUCUAUCCCUUUCUUUCUCUCUUUCUGUGAAUUUCUUGAAAUUGACGACGCACGUUCUGAUUCUUGCUGUGUUUGGGAGCGGAGAAAGCUCUGGAUUAGCUUUGAUCACUUGAAUUUUGUCUUAUUUAGUUCAGCACAGUCGGACUACAUAAUCCUACCAUUGGGCUAUUUCUAUAGAGGGUUUAUGUUGACUUUUGUUGGCCUGUUGACAGUCUGGUAGGUCUAUCAUAUUGAUGGAACUAAAUUGUGAGUUAGUUAUGGUUUAGAUUGUUGAAUUUUGAAUUCGCAAUUCCCUUUGAAACUGUCACAAGCGAUGUGUCUGUUGUGGCUACAGGAAUCAAAAGCGAGUGAAAGGUAAAGCUUUUCUCUCCAAGCAUUCAUCGCCAGAAAUUGUAGUACCUCUUUUAAAUUCAAAUUUUUAUUUAUUUGCAGAAUUGUAUAAUCCUUUUGAAGCAGUGGGGAGCCGCGGGUUCGCUCUCUCUCUCUCCCUCGUAUUUGGGUUUUUCUCCUAUUUCUCUUUUUUGUUGAUCUAAUUUGUGGUGAAGUUGUUGAGUUUGCUUGAAUUGGAACGUGGGUUUAAUUGAGUUUCCUUUUGUUUGUCAGUUCGAUUUUGGUAGGAUUGGCAUGUGGUUGUUCACGCCUUUACGGCCACUUUGUGUCUGGCAAAGGUAAUAAUAUUACUCUUCGUUCCAUAAGCUUCGUUUUUAAUGCCCAGAAAAAUUUGGAAUUGAGAACAUGAUGGGGUUUUAGGCAAUACCUAAGUUCUAUAAUUCUCCCCGUUUGUUGUUAUUAGUAAUUUCUUCGAUCAUGUUAGUUUGAUAGUGUUUUGCUGCCCAGAAUUUUUUUUGAAUUUAAAAUAUCAUGGGAUUGGGGUUUUAAAAUUUUAACAACAAUUGAUAUGAAUUUUGGUGAAUUUUGAUGCUCAAUGGACUUUGUUAACGGCUUCUAACUUUGUUAUGCUUUGGAAUAUUGGUGGGUUUUCAUCAAAUUUUGCUUAUAUCUUUGUGCGGUGUGUCUGUUGUAUUAUCUGGUCAUAGAUACCUUCGUUAAGUAAUUUGAGAAGCAUGGGGAGAUAAUAGACUAAUCAAAGAGAUGCAUGUGAUCAACGAUAAAUAGGUAAGCAUCAUCCUCUUCCUUGUUUUGUUAUGAUUGGUUGUAUAGAGGAUUGAGAAAAAAGUUGAAGACAAUUCCACGCUUUUGAGUUAUAGCAAUUAGUAAAUAUAAAAUGACAUUGAUUAGUUCAUUGAAGUUUUGAAUCCUUCGUUAGUUUAUCCGUGGUGCGUGCUUGAGAAUGAAAGCAAUGGACAUUAUAUGGAAUUGAUGUUCCUUUUAAUGUCAGUAAAGAAAGGAAUUGUUCCUUUAUUAGCAAUUAUAUGAAGUAGGCAUAUUAUGCAAUACAAUGUCUACAAUCGACUAUUUUACUUUUUGUACAAGUACAACUUUUGAUCGAAAGCCACAAAAACUACCUAAAGGCCAAAGAACCGUGUGUUAGAAGAACAGAAUAUGGUGUAAAGCUUAAAUUUUGGGCACUUCAAUAUAUGUUUUAUUUUUCAAUUACAAUAACUUGCAUGAAAAUUCAAUUGGGUUUGUUCUGGUCUCCAAAAAUUUUGCUUUGUUUGGUUACUGAUUAAUUUAUGUGGUGGGAGUUUAGUUUCUGCUUUUCUGCCUACGUAUUUAUGAUUCAAAAUGGACUGUUCAAUUACAUAUUUGUAAUCGAAAAGCUCGAAGGAGAGGUGAAUUAUCUUACCGACACUGUUCAUUUAUCUAUUCCUUUGUUCAUUCAUGAUUAUGUAGAAUUUUUGAGGUUAAAUGUGUCAUAUUCAUGUAGUUAAGGCUGGUGCAUUCAAGUCUCGCAGUAUCGCGCAGGCCAAUUUACUAGUGUAAUCGAAAAUCGAAAUCAAAACACGGAGAUUUUUACGGUUUUAAAAGGAUUUCGGUUUGAAUCUGAACCGUAGGAUGAAAAAACAGUUUGGUUUUGCUUUUGAACAUCUGAAAUCAAGCCGAAACUGAAUCACAUUGCCAAGAUACCUGAACGAAAAGGCCCCUACUAUUACUAUUACAUUGCCGAAACUAAAUCAAGCCGAAACUGAAUCACAUUGCCAAGAUAUCUGAAAUCUACACAGUUUGUGUCGUUGAUGCCGAGACAGGUGCUCAUGUGGGUCUGCCUCUAGUUGUUACAACAUCCUAGUUUGUAAAUGGUUUGAAACCGAAAUUAAAACCGUUUGAAACCGAACUAAAUCGCAACCAAAUGGUUUGGUUUUAUCUUGAUUGGUUCAAGCUUUAAAUUCACACCGAACUGAACUGGCAAAAAAUUCAGUUUCACUUUAAAACCGCACAGAACCAAACCGUGUCCAUCCCUAGUCUGCAUUGGAGGAAAACUGGGGAAAACCUCCCGGUAACCUCAACUCUGAUGGAGAAAAUGUAUUGGAGAUUGAAGAUUGUGAAUUCUUGUUUUUGUUUUUCUCCAUAAGAUUUCCAUACAAAAUUUCUAUACGAUUUUUGCCUUCUCUUGUAAUUUCAUUAUGACUACAUACUACAAAAAUAUCUCAUAAUUCAAUGGUACAAAUUCUAGGUGACCCUCCGACAGCCACGGAAACGACAACCCACUUCUGAGAUCGGAAGCUAGCGUAUGGAGACGGCGUGUCGGAGAUUGUCUUGACGGCGGAUUCGAGCUGUGGCAUCUGAAUCUUCUUGAAACCCGUAUCUGGCUGACUUGCAGAGCCACCAUCGCAAAGAAGAAAAUCUGAAAAGCUCAAACCUUAUCUUUUUCUCCUAUAACGAUGUUGUUUUAGUGAAUUGCUUUAAGUUUGUGUACUUUUAAGUUUUAUGUAGUAUGUAUACUUUUUUAUCAUUAUUAUUGUUUUUGGUCAAAUAAUAAAUUUUGUUAGAUUAGUCAUUGAUGGGUGAUUAGCUAUCAAUAAGUUUGGACUCAUACCGUCAUGCAAAAGUUUAACAUUUUUCUACCAUUAUGAUAAAGUGGUUAAUCACACCGAUGAAUGAUUAGUCACAGAUGAAUUCGGACUCAAUCUAUCAUACAAAGAUUUAAGCGCCUAUUUGGUAUUCUAUUUGAAAAUUUUUAUUAUUUCUCAAAACAUUUCUUAAGAACAUUUCUUGAAAACAAUUUUCUUUAAGACUCAAAAACUUGAUUGGUUUGCGAUUUAAAAUUUUUAAAUCUUAUGACUUAAACUAGACAAAGAGAUUUAAAAAUAGGGGUCGCAGAAGAGGAAGAAAAAGGAGAGAGAAGGAAAGAAAGUACGAGAGGAGUGAAGGAAAGAGAAAGAAGAGAGAGGAUUGGACGAGAUAGUGAGGAAGAGGAGUGAGAGAAAGAAUCGAGAGAAUAAAAAGAGCAGAUUGGAGGAGAGACGAAAAAGGUUAAAAAAAAAGAGAGAAAGAAGAAAAGAGAGAGAGAUAGGUUUGGAGUGAGAGAGGAGGAGGGAGAAAAAAGAAAUGAGUGAGUUUAAGUUUAAAAACUCUAAAAACUCACUUUUUAUGUUUUUAGAGAAUAUACUAUAUUUUUGAGUUAGUCUUGAGUUCAGUUUUUGAAAAUAGUCCUACCAAACAAGUUUUUAAGGCAUAAAAUUUGAAAAUUGUUUUUUAGUUUAAAAAGUUGUAUUCAAAUAAAGUACCAAACAUACCGUAACAUUUUUUAUUAUUGUGAUAAAGAAGCACUUGCUACCCAUGCGAGCUGGUUGGAUAUGAAUCAGGAGUCUCUCCUGAGCACUUCCCUAGGGAUCCCGCAAUCAUACCCGUUCAUCGUAUAUCGUGCGGUCAGAAAUGAUUUAAAAUUAAAAUUUUAAAAUUCAAAUAUGAAUAGUACCUAACGAAAACUGACCGCACGAUAUAAAAUGAACGGAUAAGAUUGCGGGAUCCCUAGGGAAGUGCUCAGAAGAGACUCCUGAUUCGUUGGAUAUAUACAAAAGGGUCCUUUCAGCCUUGGUGCCAGACAAAGAAAACAUGGAAAGUAAAGAAGAGAAAAAAGAAAAAAAAAAAAGGAAAAGAAGGUGAUGGUGGAAUUGCAGAAAGAAAUGAAGGAAAAGGAAAGGGGGAGUCCACGUGAAGAAAAGGCAGAAGAAAGACGAAAGAAAACAAAGAGAAAAAAAGAUGAAUGAGGAUCUUCGUCGAAUUCUCCUUGUAAAAAUUUUAAAGAUUAUUUAAUCAUAUCUAUUUAUCGUAUAUAUGUUAGAAAUUAUUUAAAUUUUUGUAUUUAAGCUUGAAUAUAAACAGUACUUAACAAAAAUUAAUCGCGCAAUAUAUUAUAAACGAAUAUAAUUAAAGAAUUCUUAAAAUUCUUAGAAAAAAAAUUCCGACCAGGAUCUUCUUUCAAAGUAAAAGUUGAGACAGAAAAGAAAAAGAAAGAGGUCAAAGAAAGAGAAAAAACAAAGAAAAUGGUGGUGCCUGACAUGCAAUACAGAAGUAGAAAAGUGAUGAGAUUGUGGCAGACAAAUAAAAAAAAUGUGAAGAAAAAGUGGAAGAAAAUGAAAAAAGUGUUGUUUGCUAUCUCUACGGCUGUGGGCUCUUUUUUGGCUGCGAACGUUAAUUUGGGUGUGUCCCGGUCGGGGGGAUCUGGUGGGGUGGACCAUAUUUCGCGGUGGUGUGCUCCUUCCUCUCCUCUUAUCAAGAUAAAUGUUGAUGCCAGUUGGUCUAAGGUCUCUAAGAUGGGAUUUGCUGGGGUGGUUAUUCGGGCUGCGGAGGGGAGGUUUGUUGCCGCUGCAAGGUACCCUAUUUCUGCUCCCUCAGCUGCUGCAGUUGAGGCUCUUGCUUUGCUUCAUGGCUGUGAAUUGGGUGCAGCUUUGGGUAUCCAUGCUCUGAUUAUUGAAUCUGAUUCUCUUGAUGUUGUUAAUUGUCUUUCUGAUUCUCUUGAGAUGGGCAGUUGGGAGUCUUUCCCUGUGUUAGCUCGGGUCAAGCAGCUUGGGGAGGCUUUCCAGUUCUCUCGCUGGUCUUGGAUUCCUCGAUCAGCAAAUAGUGUGGCGCAUGAGCUGGCGUCGGUUGGUUUUCCGAAGAUGAGUGAGUUUGUCUGGGUCGAGAGGCCUCCAUCUUCGUUGGUCUUUGUCUUGAACAAUAACGGGCUCCCGUGUCCUCAUUGACUCCUAUUGGUGGUGUUUGGGGUGACGUCUCCACUUGGUGGCGAUGUCUCUAUUGUAUCCCCGUUCACUACUUGUUUUCCUGAUCUUUGUUUGCCUCUCUGUAGGCUUUCUUGUUCUUUGGCUUUUUUUCCUUGCUGAUAAAAAAAAUGAAAAAAGGAAUGGAAUGAAAGUGGGGAGUGUGGAGAUUAGGAUGUUCCUCGAAAUGAGGGUUUCGUCUAUCCACCGGAGGGGUUCCGUCUAGAUCUCUGGAAGGGUUUCGCCUGUCCAGGCUCUCCCGUCUCGUGUUGGGGCUGUGAUUCUGGAUUCUUGGUACCCCUGUUAGGUGAGUAGUUGGGAGGUGAGUUCAGGAGGUCUGGAAGUGUGAAUUUAGGGGAUCUUUGGCGGGAUCUAGGGUUUCCAGGGGGUAGGCGGAGAUCUCAAGGGGGUUCGUCUGCCUCGGAUCUGGUCCUUCCGGUGCUGGGUCGGUGAAUCUCGGUAUCCUUGUUCGGCGAGCAUGUGGGUGGAACGGCGGAGACAUCGAGGGGGUUUGUCUGCUUCGGCUCUGCUUCUUCUCGUGGUGGGCGGUGUAUCUCGGGUCCUUGCUCGGUGAGCAGGUGGGAGGAGAGCUCAGGCAUUUGGGAAAUAGAUUGUUAGGAUUUUCGGGCGGGAUCUAGGGCUAUCAGGGUAUUGGUGGGUCUAGCUCUGGGGGGUGCUCCUAGUCUCUGGUGUUCGGGAUUGGACUCCUGGUGGGGGAUUGGCCUCGCCCGGGAAAGAAGGGGAAUGUGUGAUCAUGGGUGAGGAUAAACCCAAGAAGGACCUAGAGGAUCUGGGCUCUUGGUUUGGGGCAAAGCUGAAACUGUCCGAGAAAGAGCUUGGCGGAAUAUGUAUUCAGAGGAAAGAUGUAGAGGGUGCUCUAGUGGGACUCCAAUACACUCUGAUUGCAGAAGUUCUUACCUCGAAAGAGGUAAAUGGGGAAGUUUUCAUAGAUUGUUUCAUGUCUCUGUGGCGAGGGAGGGAAGGCGUUUCUAUCAGGGACAUUGGUGACCGGAGAUUCCUAACGAGAUUUGCCGGUCAAAGGGAUCUUCAACGAGUGGUAGAUGCAGAUCAACCGUGGCACUUUAAAAAUGAUAUAGUCAUGGUUGCGGAGUGGACGAACAGUGGGCUCAACAGAUGGGCUUCUCUCUCAUCAGGAACGUUCUGGGUGCAGAUUCAUAAUGUUCCUGUUCUAAGCAUGACUCAAGCGGGGGCGGAAUCCAUUGGAGGCCUAAUCGGGACGGUUAAAUCGGUGGAUAAAUCCGGCAGUAGAGACUGCAUUUGAAGAUUUCUUCGUGUAAAAAUUCUUUUCAAUGUAUGUGAAUCCCUUAUGCGAGGUACUUUUGUUAAUUUCCCUGAUGAAGGCAGAGUGUGGGUUGAUUUUAAAUACGAAGGGCUUCCUAAAUACUGCCUCAUAUGUGGUCUAUUGGGACAUGCUACUCGUGUGUGCAAAGGCUCCCAGGAGCUAGGGAUGAUUGAAGGGGAAACCUCUGAAGAGUUGGGGGAGAGGUUUGUGUUUAAGGGAUUGGAUGCAUUUACGGAUCUGAGGGGUAAAUUAUUAGGCGCGGGGGGCAGUACUAGGACUCCUCGAGGGUCUAGAAAAGGACGAAAGGAUACGGGAAGAUGGAAAGACGAUCGUAAUGAGGAACAAGAUGGAGGAAAACGAUCGGGCCGAUCAUCCACAACCUCGGGCAUGGGAAGUCACUCACAACUGGGGGCCUCGAGAUCGUUCAGUGGGAGUGACUAUACGGACACGAUUCUCGCGGAAGAGGUUGACACUGCCAUAUCACCAAACAAACCCCGCUGGUCUACAAGCAGACUGAAUAAAGAGAGACUUAACCUAGCUGACAAAAUUCGUCACCAACGUCAGGAGGAAGAUGAUGCAAGAAAGGCUAGAGAAUUAGCUUUCGAUGCAGGACUAAUUGGUCCAGGAGGAGUGAUUGCGGAAGGUGCGGAAAACGUUAUUCUCCACGAAAUCCUUGAACAGGAGAUCUAUGGGAACUUGACCGGGGUGUCAACUGCAACAGGGCAGAGGUUUGACUUGAAUAAUGCUCCAUUCAUUAUGGAGGGAAUUGGUGAUGGAAUUCUAGACAAUGGAGAGGAGGUGGGAAGGCUGAUGAGUGUAGACGGUGCUGCUGAGAAUGGAAUUAGUACGGAGGAUGACCCAUUUCAACUGGGUCCUAUCAUUCAGGCAAUAACUAUGGAACAGAAAGGGAGAAAACGAAACAUUCAGGAAAUGACGCUCUCAUCGACUACUACUACAGAGGAGCCACUAGCUACCAGACCGAGGAAGGGGUGUUUCUUUAAAGAGGCGGAGGAGACCAGCCGUAAGGGGUCCCCCACACAUCCAUGAAGAUAAUCACGUGGAACUGUCAGGGUAUCAAGGGUGACCUGACAGUUGACAACCUGCUGGAGCAGAACCGGCUUCACACCCCUGACAUGGUUAUUCUGCUGGAAACUAAGAAUAAAAGUAGGAGUUUUGCCCAUCUGAAAAGGAGACUGGGUAUGGAACACUGGUUCGUUGUUGAGCCUCGCGGCAUUGGAGGUGGCUUAUGUGUUUUCUGGAGAGAUGCGACCUCUGUGGUGUUAAUGAAAUCGGAGGACUUUUUGGUGGAACUCAAAUUGUGGGAUGAGAAGAUGAACUGUAACCGGAUGUUAUUCGCUAUUUAUGCUAGUACGGAUGAUAAGAAGAGAAGGGAGCAAUGGAAAGAAGUUUCUAAGCGUAUUGGACAAGAACGGGACCGCUGCCUCCUCCUAGGAGAUUUCAAUGAUAUUCUUUGUAACGAAGAGAAGGAGGGAGGGAAUUACAGACCGGCUGCUAGUCUACGUGACUUUAGAGAUUUUGUGGCUCGUGACGAACUUAUGGAUCUGGGCUAUGAAGGUUACCCCUUUACCUGGAGAAAUAAAAGAGAGUCCCUGCCUAUUCAGCAACGCCUUGACCGUGGGUUGGCGACCUUAGGAUGGUAUGAAAUGUACCCCAACACAAUAAUCAAGCAUGUGAUAUUGGAAGGAUCGGAUCACGCUCUUUUGAUUCUCUCAACUGAUAAAGGUCCAAAAUGGAAGGGAAAGCAAUUCUCAUUCGAUGGGCGUUGAAGCAAGUCGGAAGAGUGUCGUAAUUUGGUUGGGGAAGAUUGGAGACUUCAGAUUUAUGGCUCACAUGCGUACCGCUUUUGUGAAAAAUUGAAAUAUCUUAGAAGAAGUUUAAAAGCCUGGUACAAAGGAAGAGGAAAGAACUCGUUGAAACUGAUUCAGCAUCUGAAAGAAGAGAUAAGGGCGGCCUACGAAACUAAUGAGUUUGCCUCUAAGGAUGUUAAAAAAAAAAAGAGGGAGCUCUUUGAUGCUCAUCAGAAGGAGGAGGCUUAUUGGAAAGUUAAAUCCAGGAAUCAAUGGCUACGCGAGGGUGAUAAGAACACCAAAUUUUUCCAUGCCCAAACGCUAAAAAGGGGCCCGUUUAAUACGAUCCGAGGAAUAGAGGACGCCCGGGGGAUCUGGCAGGAAAGUUCUGAAGGUAUUGGUAAUACGGCUAUUGAUUAUUUUACUGAUCUUUUUCAAUCCUGUCAGACUAAUCUGGUGGCGGAAGUUUAGAGUUGCAUGGAGGGUCGGCUCUCCCUAGAGGACAACCGAGGUUUAACUACUAUGGUCUCCGAAUGUGAAAUUUUGGAGGCUGCUUUUCAAAUCCCCCCUACUAGAUCUCCGGGUCCUGAUGGCUUCUCUAGCUGUUUUUACCAAGAUCACUGGGACACGGUCGGGUCGAACGUAGUCAAGAUUGUUAAAGCAUUCUGGCACUCGGGUUCCCUGCUGCGUAAACUCAACCACACCAAUGUUGUGCUUAUUCCGAAGGUGAAGUGCCCAAAAAAUAUGACGCAAUAUAGGCCUAUUGCUUUAUGUAACGUCAUCUACAAGAUUAUUGCCAAGGUUCUCACUAAUAGGCUUAAGAAGGUGAUGCCGAAAAUGAUUGGGGAGAACCAAUCUGCCUUCGUGGCUGGGAAGCAAAUCCAAGAUAAUAUCCUUGUGGUGCACGAAGUCCUCCACUCCUUAAUCCACCAGAAUAAAGGAGACCAACCUGGGAUGGCUAUCAAGCUCGAUAUGGCCAAGGCAUACGAUCGAGUUGAAUGGGAUUUCCUAUUGGGAAUGAUGGCUAGCCUGGGUUUCGCGCCUAUCUUCUGCAGCUGGAUUAAGGAAUGCAUUUCUACCGUAUCAUUUAGUGUCCUCAUAAACGGGUCCCCAACGGGUUUCUUCCGGCCGAAUCGGGGGCUCAUGCAAGGCGAUCCCCUAUCCCCUUUCCUGUUCCUCCUCUGUACUGAAUGAUUCUUUAUGUUAAUCAGGAGAAGCCUGGAAAGGGGUGCCCUCCACGAUUUCAAGGUAUUUCCUACUGGUGUACCGAUAACGCAUCUCCUGUUCGCGGAUGACUCUGUGGUUUUUGGAAAUGCUUCUGUGGAGGAGGCGGAGAGCAUAGUGGCAGUUCUACAGAUGUAUGCUCGGGGCUCCGGUCAGAUGAUUAAUAUGGCCAAAAGUUCGGUCUUCUUCGGUGCUAAUACCCCGAAAUGUCAGAAAGCCAAAAUUGUGAACUCCCUGGGGAUACAGAGUAAUCAGGGAUUUGGGAAAUAUCUUGGCCUGCAGGCCGAUUUCGGACACUAAAAAAAAGCUGUCUUUGCGGAAAUCCGGGAUAAGAUUGAAGCUCGCUUGUCUGGUUGGGCUGAACAGUACCUGUCCCAGGCAGGAAAUGAGAUCCUUGUGAAAUCAGUUGCUAUGGCCUUGCCUAACUAUGCUAUGAGUUGUUUUAGACUCCCCAUUGGAGUGUGUCGGGAUGUUGAAAGAGCUAUUCGAAAUUACUGGUGGCGUGGUAAUGAACAACGUAAGGGCAUUCACUGGGUCUCCUGGGAUCGUCUCAUGAAACAGAAAAAGGCUGGUGGAAUGGGAUUCAAGGACAUCCAAUGUGUCAACCUUGCUCUUCUUGCCAAGAUCGGAUGGCGAAUCACCCAAAACCCUUUGUCCCUCCUAGCUUCGGUUUUGAGUGAUAAAUACUUCCCGGGGAAAAGUUUUGGAGAAGCUCUGAAAGGGAAGAAUACCUCAUGGGGCUGGAAAGGUCUCUUUGAAGCCCGGAAAGUGCUUAAACUUGGUCUUAGAUGGCGGGUGGGAAAUGGGAAAAGCAUAAACAUAAGGAAGGAUCCGUGGCUCCCUAAACCCUCAACCUAUAAAGUCAUCCCGAAACCAAUUCUGGAAGGUACAAUGGUAUGUGACCUGAUCGACCCUGUUACUAACUCUUGGCGAACGGACUUGAUCGAGCUCGGGUUUCAGCGGGAAGAUGUAUUACCGAUCUUAAGCAUUCCACUCAGCCACCCUGGCAUAGAUGAUAGACUGGUGUGGCACUACACUACCAAUGGGAUUUUUUCAGUUAAAACUGGGUACAAUUUGGCUUUAAAACUGAUGGAAGAAGGUUCUUUGGGAAGGAAAGGGCGCGGUGGCCCUAGUGAAAGUAACAAUUUAAAUCUGGUAUGGAAUAAUAUCUGGAGUCUGCAGGUUCCAAAUAAGAUCAAAUGCUUCAUUUGGCGAUGCUGCAACAAUGCUCUGGCGGUUAGAAGGAAUCUUAAAAGACGUCAUAUGAGAAUUGACAAUGUUUGUGGUGUUUGUAACGCCAUUAAUGAAAUUGAAAACCAUCUGUUUUUCCGUUGUGAAUUUAGCCAUGUCUUCUGGUUUUGUUCUCAUCUGCACCUAAAUUCUCACGCCCUGGAGGGAAGUGACUUUCUCGAAAGCUGGAGCAACUUUUGUGCUCAAGUGAAGGAGAGGAAUAAUGCGGAUGACAUCCGUCAAGAAUUUGCCUUUGGCAUGUGGAGAUUGUGGAAGAACGGAAACGAUGUGAUAUUCAAAGGGAUAUAUCGCCAGCCUUUGGAUAUCUUGGAGGCCUGGAGGAAGAGUACUAGCGAGUACAAAGACUGUUUGGCGCGGGAAGAAGAUGACAACAGACCGAGGCUGCCGAUGACAAUUAAGGCUUCAGAAUCUUUUUGUACUAAAUGGCAGAAACCUAGGUUCGGAACUAUUAAGAUUAAUUCCGACGCGACCUGGUGUAAAGAUACGAUGCAUAUGGGUUUGGGUUGGCUGGGUCGGGAUUUUGCGGGACUGCUCCAAGCGGCUGGGGGGAUAGGCUCUGGUUUCUGUCAUAGUGCCGCGGCUGCUGAAGCUUCUGCCAUCAGGUAUGCUCUAUUGGCCUGUAUCGAACAUGGGUUUAAUGACAUCAUCAUUGAAUCUGAUGCAAGGUUGGUUAUUAAAAUGCUGAAGAAGGAAGUGUUUGUAGAUUUUAGUAUUGAGUGUAUUCUUGGCGACAUUGAGGUUCUAGUGCAUAAGCUGAGGACUGUCUCUUUUGCUUUUGUGCCUAGAGAGGGCAAUCGUGCUUCUCACUCGGUGGCUAAGUAUGCCUUUAAGGAGGGCCGCUCUUUUUCUUGGGAUUGUAUUGGCCCUUAAUUCCUGUUUAAUUUUCUUGCUAAGGAUGUAAACCUUUAUAUUCGUCUUUAAUAUAUUUCUAUCUUUGGUUAAAAAAAAAAGAAAGUGGGGAGUGUGGCCAGUGGCCACGUGAAGAAAAGAAAAAGAAAAGAAAGUGGUGGCGGCAACCACAUGUGAAAUGGCAUGUACCAUCAUGUUAGCAGAUCCAAUAAAGGUGGCCUUUUAUAUCACGAUAAUAUAAAAGUUGCGCGUCUUUACAUUCUUACGUGAAUUCGAAUAUUGUUAGUGUCGAGAAGUAAUGUACUUGAAUGGAUGACCAUAGGUUGCAUUUUGCAGUUAGUAUUUGGCAUUAUAUGUCGUUUUGUAUCGGAAAAUUAUAGAGCUAUACAGUUGAACUGAAUCACAAUUGAAUUGAAGGAGAAUGAGUGUGCGUUUUACGUUGAUUAGUUUGCUCACGAUCUGCAUUCUACACUUGUAGAGAUGGCAAAUGAUCAUUCUGAAAUCUAUUGUCUCUUUACUUCAGUUGCUAAUUUGGCAAAAUGAUGCACCAAGCCAAAGUUUGAAACCAAACCGAACUGAAUCCUUUUGGUUAUCUAAUUUACACUGAAAUGAUGCACCAAACCAAAAUGUGUAUUCUAAUUGGUGAGGUAACAUAAUAUGUCCUUAUUUCCAAAAAAAACAUAAUAUGUCCUUGUCCAUGAUAGCAUUCAACAUUUAAAUUCUCUAACAAGUUUGUGACAACCCGUUCCGACUUUAUCGAAUUUUAAUUUUGAAAGUGAGAAUUGACUUAAAUGCCCCUAUUGGGUUCAGCUGACACAUGGACGUUUUGAGCCAGUGUUUAAUUUGUCUCAUUUCGUAGUAUAUCGAGAUGGUACUCAUCGUUGCUAACGCGUGAGUGCAAACUAGACCCAAAUUGAAUUUGUAACAAAAAAACUACACUCGUUUAAUAAACGGGUAAAUAUGUACACAAAAUUGUGUGAAAUUCACAGAGUGUGCAUGUGAGAAACUGUAACCAUUAUCCUUUCCGAAUCCUUCUCUGAGUAUUGCGUGAAAUAUCAAUUCAUCAUAAUCGUUCACUACACAUAGAAAUGAUUUUAAAUAUUUUAUUCUUUUUCCAGCUUGCACGCACAAAUAACGGGCCCCAUUCUUUUUUCGUCACUUUGUAUCAGAUGCUUUAUCCAUCUAAAAUGGAUCAUUAUUGAUUGAAUGAUAACAACCACCACUCUUACAUCACACAGUACAUAAAGACUUCAUUAUUUAUUUAAAGUAUCUGUUAGCUUUUAAAAAUUUGUCAUGUUGUGAGAUUUUUCUUCUGUUAAAUCACUUUUUGUUUGGUGUGUGAGAAAGUGAAAAGUUUGUCUAUUUGUAUGAUUUAAAUGUAUGAGAUAUGUGUGUGUUUACUAUGCUUUUAGCUGAGAUUAAUAUCAUAUGUAAUGUCGAAUUGGAUGUUGUGUAUAACUAAAUUAGUGUAAAAUAUUACUUUAUGAGUGAGUCACGAGAGCAAUCCCAUGCGAGAAUGUGUGCGUUGAAUGUAUUGAGAUAUGCAAAGAGUACAAUUAUAGCAGUUGCAUUGUUAAUUUGAUGCAUUUACUUAUGUAGUUUUAAUUUUGGCUAAAAAACAUUAUUUUAAAGGAUAAAAAAAUUAGCAAAGAUGUGUUAAAAGUAAAAAUAAAUGUGUUGAUAGUAUCAUUAUUUUAAAAUUGUUCAUUCAAUUUGCGUGACUAACGAUCUCAAAAUGAAUAAAUUUUACCUUACUUUUGGGCUUGCCUCUUUACUUUACUUUUGGAAAUAACUGCACACUUACUUUAGUAUGCUUUUAACAAACUAUACUUUAAUUUGUUUUAUCUUUAAUGAAAUUAGUUGUUUGACCGAAAACAAAAGAAUAAAUUUUUUUUUGAGAUAUUUUUACACAAUGAUAAAAAAAAUACGCAACUCUAAUUGCGAUGCUUCUACCGUGAUAUGAUGUAAAUUGUAAUGCCACGAGAGAGUGAGAAUGGCUCGAGCCAUGUAUACAAAUGACAAAACUGAUCUUGUUGGGUUUAACGGAAUUUUACAUGGACGUUUGAGCCAAUGCGUAAUUCGUCUCAUUUUUUAAUAUAUUUGAGUACUCAUCGUUAAGAAUGUAAAUAUAAACUAAAUCCAAAUCAGACUCGUAACAAUUUAAAAUUUGAUAACAAGCAAUAAAUUUGUAUACUUGUGUAAAUUCACACGUGUGCACAAAAGAUAGUGUCGGCAGACACUGUUAGAGAAAUUACCUAUUAGCUUUUGAAAAUUUGUCCCGUAACGGAAAGUCACCCCACCAAUCAAUUGCACUCUGCUUUUUCUCUCUCUCUCUCUCUCUCUCUCUCUCUCCUCUCAGUGUUGUCCUCCUACCCUGUAACAUCUCUCUCACUCACUCAAACCUCUCUUUCUCCCUCUAAAACUCUCCCGUCCUCUCUUCUCUCUGUAACGCAGCAAAAGUCACCAAACCUCGACGAAUCAACGCUCAAACCACCACCACGUCCACCCUCUUGACCUCGCGAGCUCGAACCCGAGCUCCGUUUCGUAGGAAACCGAAACUAGAGGCUCUAGCUCGAAGCUCCGACGAGAAAGAAACUUCCCGACGAAGUUCCCGACACUUUUCCGACCGCUCCACACCGUAUUGGAAGAGUUGGAAGCCACCACAGAACUCCCUAACGUCACUGGGUCAAGUUUGAGGCAAUCCCCAACUCGAAAACACCCGGCUUCGAAGCUUUGGGUUUUUUUGCGGAGACUUUCAGGCCAAUUUCAGUACACGUCUGCUUUUUGGAGUUCCAAGAGGUAUAAACUUGUUCCUUGUGCUUCAUUUCCAUAUAAAGAACGUAAAAAAUGGUUGAGAAAUGAGCAAGUUAUGACCUUUUGAAAUUGUCCUCAGUUUCCGUCGAUUUCAGGGACCUUCCGGCGUGUUUUUGGCUAAAUCACGGCGAGUUAGCCGUACCAAUUUGUUCAUCUCAUUCCGAGGUAUCCUUUCCAUUCUGAAUCACUCAAUUUAGUUGAGAUAUGUGGAAGUUAUGAUGAUUUAAAAAUUUCCCAGAAAACCGGUGAUAAACUGCAUAAUCCGGCGACCCGCGACCGGAACCUGGUAAAAAGUAGAUGAAAAAACGCAGUUCUAAUACAACUAAAACACGUAAUUGCAUCAUUCCUAAAACACAGUGAAAUUUGUGAGAGUGGCCUAAAUAGAAAGAAAAAGAUAUGAAAUAAAGUUCCUUUGAAAUCGUAACCAGUAAAAGACCCGAUCAUGUUCAGGAAAGGUAACAUCACAUAUCCAACUUAAACUAGGGAAUGCCAUACUUAAUGUGAUCAUAACUAAUAACUUUUAUUUUUUACAAACUGCUAAUAACUUAUAGAGUAAAUUUAUGCAAUUGUCCCUCAAUUUUAGUCAAAUUGGAGCAAUAGUCUUUCAAUUAAAAAACCAUUACCAUUGGUCCCUUAACUCAUCAAAAUGUGUAGCUAUGAUCAUUUUCUUUAACUUCAUCAAAAUUUGGUCAAAAUGAGUUAUGUUGGAAAGACCAUUGCUACAAUUGGUUUAAAGUUGAGGGACCAUUUCUCCAAUUGGAUUAAAGUUGAGGGACUAUUUCUCGAGUUGGAUUAAAGUUGAGAGACUAUUAAUAAUGUAUUUUUAUGUAGUACGGGUACAUUCUGCACAGCACACCCUCACUAUUGGUUUAAGGGCUGGUUUGGUAUUGCUGUGCUUUGAAAAAAAACUGUUGUGAGAAUAAGCGGCUGUGCUGUGAGAAUAAGCGGUUGUGAAAUAAAUCAGCAGAGCGUUUGGUAAACUUUAUUGUAAAAGUGCUUUUGGAAAAAAAAAAGCAGUCUGAUAGUGAAUGUAGUAAUUCCUAAUCUUAUAGUUUGUAAAAUUAUCUUUCCCACCUAGAAUGUGAAUAAGGGGUACAUUUUGCACAGUGCACCCUCACUACUAGUUUAAAUGACAUAAGCUUUGGUUUUAUUUAUUCAAAUUUGUGCUCAUCAUCUAUACUUUAUGACUUUCGUCAAUUUCCAGAUGUCGGCUAGUACGCCUUGACUUCGGUUGGGAUGUGUCAAAGUUUGUGAAGCACCACUUCCAGUUCCAAGCAUAUGAUUUGGUGUUGAACAAGGCAUAAAUUUCAUAAUUUCACUUUUACUCUGGACAGUUGUAUUGUGUUGACUUACAAUACAGGUACUACAUAUUUCUCGAAAACUAUUUCAUUCCAAUAUUUGUUGUUUUAGACGUUUGUUUUUACUCUACCUAUCCAAGAAAUAAAAGUGUUGAUUUUACAUUCUAGUACCCACCAAAUACUAUAUUUCAGCUGAGCUCCAAUACUAACAAACCUAAGGAAACCAUCACCUAUUAAAAGAUAAUCAACUAAAAGUGAGCUAAUCCCCCUUAUAAUCAAAAUUUUAUUAUUUUCUAAACCGAAAAAAAAAAUAUGGAUUGGGGUCGCUAGUAGAAAUGAACAAAUAAAAAUAUCAUGUGACAGUGAGUUUGGGGACCAUACAAAUGCAUGUGUUAUGUUUAUCAUGCUAUAUAGAAAGUUUGAAAUCGCUUCUGUGAUGCAAUGGUGAAAUGUAAACUAUUCAAAAUUUGCAUACUGUAAAAUAAUAAUGAUAAAAUAAAUAUACACAUGCACUAAAAUGAUCAAUUGAAAAUAUGAUUGUACCCUCAAAGUUCAAUUUUCUUUAACUAAAACCCACCAUAGUAUAUUCUCCUAGCAAAAACUUAAUAACAAGGCUCCAACUCAGAAAUUUUCUUAAUUAAGUUUGACUUUUGCACAAUUUUGUAUUUUUGGAUGCCUAAAAUACACCUAAUAACUUAUAUCGGAUUGAACACAAUAUUUAAUGUCAUGAUUUCAUUGCAUAUUAGUAAUAUAAUGAUACGAUACUAUGGAUUUCAUCCGUUUUUUUAAUUUCCUUUUAAACUCCUUAGUUGCUUUUGGUAUAUACAUGAAAUUAGGAUUGCUUUUGGUUUAGUUUUUCCCUUUUCAAAAUGUGUGAGGAUUACGACACAUAUAUAAUAACAAUAACGUGUUGAACUCAAUAAAAAAAAGGCGCAAUUACAAAUGUAUCUAAACAAAUAUACCAAAUUGCCUUUGAUGUUCUAUUUUUUUUGUAGAAAUUUCAUCGUAAGUCCGAAUUCAGUUUCACUUGCGCCCACUCGUUCGUAUUGAUGAGCACUACGAGGAUAUGCUAAAAGGAUGGGUCUAUUCACUUUGUGUGUGUGUUUAGGUCAACCCCAAAUAAAAAAACUAAUUAGGCAUUAUGCCUAAUUAGAAAAUAAUAAAACAUAUGGACCAACUUGCCCAAUUGUUUAACAAGUCCAACGAAACGAGUAAACCAUCAUUAUAACAGUCUGCAACCUAUGAUACUGACACUUGAAAACAAGUUGUGAAGUCUUGAGGGUGCAAAAUAACCAUUUUGCCCCUCCUCGUGAAACAUGUGCAACUCUUUAGUAAGGACGAGUACUAUCUCAAAACGGCAGAACAUGGACAAAAGUGAAAAGAACUCAAAUGUCAAUGUAGAAUUUUCACUUAGCCCUUCAGGGGCAUUUUCGUAAUUUUACAACGUUAGAGAAUAAAAUACAAAGGACAAGACGUAACAAUCUACCUCUUUAAAAAAAUUGUCCCUAAAAUUUCAUAUCAUACAUACAAGAUCUUGCUCGAAGAACAAGUAUGCAUACAGAGCUCUCAUGUGCCUUUUUUGUCUUUGCGUCGCUACCUGACGCUUAUCUGGUAUUAUGGUAUUGUCCAUCUCCAUACCACCUGUAUCCUAGUCCUAAGGCAUGACUUCUUGGUACUACGUAGUAUUUCUAGUAGAAGGAACCAUACCGUCUGGAUACUGGUUGACAACUCAUAGAUACUAAACUUGGUAGUGGAUAAUGCAACACCAUCAUGGGUGGGCUGUUGAUGAGGGUUGCUUCCUAUGAGUAAGUUUGGUUGAUAGGGAAAUGCUCUUAUGAGUUGAUUUCGUUGUUUUGGGGCACACUUGGUAGCCUAGUAUUCUUGCUGACCGCAUAUGUGACAACCUAUACUUCCUUCUUAUACCUGUCGUAAUGAGGGGUGUUGCAUCGGAAGCAAUUCUUGCACCGGUGUUACUGGAACUACCAUAAGGGUGGAAUUUAGAAGCCUCCCAAUUUACUUCCAAAAUCGGGUUUACUGGAAUUCGAUUCUCCACUAGAAGAUCUGAAAUUAUAGCUGUUUCUUUUGAAAAAUUGGUUCUGUGGGGUUUAAAAAGAACACGAGUGUUCUUUUGUCAAGUGCUACCACUCUCAUCAUUAACAUUGUCACUCUAGACAUUAUCAGAAUUAUCAACGCAAAGUAAAGCCUUGUAGAAUUCCUUGGAUGUCGUACAUGGUGUAGAUGCUGCAAAGAAACAAAAUUGCUUGCGGAUUUGUUAUUUGAACUGGUGGAGCCUUUUUGAAUGGUUGGUAGCGAUUGUUGGACAAUAGCAGGACAAUUCGCUGAACUUCUGAUGGUACUUAGCUACUGAUAUUUUGCCUUGUGUAGGUCCAUGAACUCGUCUUUUUUUUCUUUCCCGGGUCUUAUACUCCGAAUACUCCGCCUGUGUAAGUUUAUCUUACAUUGUCGGUCCCAAGCCCAGAUAAAGGAGGAAGGGGAGGGCGCUAGGUAGUUGAUAACUGGUACUUCUAUUUUACGUCGAACCUUACGAUAAUGAAUCCUGAACGAAAUUGCUCUAAAGCUAGGUCGUUACUCGUAAGUGGUGCGUUGUGUCCUGAGCACAAUGAUAAGUGAGCAAGGGUCGCUGUAUCUCCACCGGCGCUUGGAUGCAAUGUUAAAUGAGCAAUGGGGCCAUAAAAACUUCUUUUUGAACGACUUCACUCAAAGUUGUUUGGAAGCAUCUGCUCCUAUCAACUUUGACCUUAUUAGACGGGGGGUGGUGAAAAAGCUAGGACAAGAGGGUAGAGAGUUCAAGAGAGUUGCGUUUAGGAACGUGGAACAUAAGAACCUUAAUGGGAAAAUCUAUGGAAAUAGUGAAAGUUAUGGUGAGGAGAAGGAUAAGUAUUAUGUGCCUACAUAAAACUAAGUGGGUUGGUCUUAAGGCAAAUGAUCUUGAAAACUCAGGUUUUAAACUUUGGUAUUCGGGCACAAAUAGAACGAGAAAUUAUGUUGGCAUUAUCGUGGACAAGAGGGUAGGAAAUAGAAUUAUGGCAAUCAAGAUUGUAAUAGGACAAGAACUCAUCAAUGUGAUUAGUGUGUACGCACCUCAAGUAAGGUUGGAACGAGUUUGAAGGAGAAAUUUUGAGAAGAUCUUAGAGACUUGGUGCAAUGAAUCGCUUAGACGAAGAAGGUAUUUAUAUGAGGAGAUUUAAAUGGACACGUGGGCAAGGGGAUAGGCCAUGGUUUUGGGGAGAGAAAUGAGGAUGGGGAAGUCAUAUUGGAUUUUUCAGUGGCAUACAAUAUCUUCUUAGCCAACACCUUCUUUAAGAAGGGAGAAGAACAUGUGGUAACCUACAAGAAUGGGUCAUCAAAAACACAAAUAGAUUUUAUUCUAACGAGGAGGAAAGGGGAUCGUAUAACUUGCAAGGAUUGCAAAGUUAUACUGGGAGAGUGCUUGGCUAAUCAACAUCGCUUGUUGGUGAUGGAUGUACAUAUCAAAAGAGAGUAAAAAGAACAAGACCUUGAAGUGUCCAAAGACUAGAAGGUGGAAUCUAAAAAGAGAAAGACAAGUCAUUUUCAAAGAGAAAGUAAUUACCCAAUGCGUGUGGGAUAGAGAGGGGGAAUAUGCGCCCACAUGGAUAUUAAAAAUUAAAAAUCAAAUCCCAAACUUCGCCCUCCCUCUCCGACACCCCUCCCCUAAUGCCUCCCACUUUUCUCUCUUUACUUCCCCGACCCACCCAAAAUUGCAUGUCCUUAGUUCACCCAAAUUGCAUAUCCCACAAACCAGAAGGUCCAAAACUUCAAACAUCAAGAAGUCGAAUUUCAUAUGCUAAUAUAGAAUAAAAUAAAGGAAACUCUUACCUUCCAAUUAUCAGAGACAGAGGACUGCCACUACUAUUAUUGUGAGACAAAGGAGUGAAAUCAAUCAAUGAUUCAGUGGAACUUCUUCAGGGCAAAUUUUGUAAUUUUUAUUUUUUGGGAAACAAAGAGUACAAGGAGUGAAAGGAAAAAGAACCUCAAGGGAGGAAGCAUCAAUGAAGCAUAGAUGGAUUAAAAAAAUGGUUUUUCCUCCAAAACCCAGAUGGAAAUUCAAUAUUCAGAAGAGAAAAUCACCAAAAGGGAGAAAAAAUGAGGGUUUUUCUUAAUCCCCAAAUGGUGAAAAAGUUUUUUCUAUAUUUUCUUAGUACCAAGAAUUUCUAACCCGACCGGCGAGCGAGCAGUGUAAGCCCCCCGAACCGUACUGCAUUGAAUUGGAGUGGCUGUGACUCAGCGUCAUGGAUCAGACCCACGUCCACCUCCAGAGUUGUAAAACGAGGAGGCCGAGAGCGAGCAGGAGCGCGAAAUCAUCUGACCGUUGAUCAACGAAGAAGAAGAAGAGGUUGAGGUAGGGCUGGGUUCGGUUCGAAACGGUUCGGUUUUUUGCCAAAACCGAAACCAAACCAAAAUUUUGGUUCGGUUCAAUUUUUUUUCGAUUUUUUUUCGGUUCAGUUUUUUUCGGUUCGGUUUCGGCCCAGUUCGGUUUUAUUUUUUAUUUUUUAUUUUUGAAAUUGAAUAAAAAUUAAAAUCUAAAAUUUUAACAUCUCUAACACAAUCAUAACAUAAGCAUUCCUACACAAUGAAAAUAAAUAUUUAAAGUUCAACUAGAAUCAUCAAUUAAAUCUUCCAAAGUCCAAACUUAAAAAAAUAUCAAAGUUUAAGUCUUCAAAAAGUCCAAAUUUAAAAUAAACAUUACACUAAGUCUUCCACACCUAAAAUAAACAUAACAAAGUCCAAAUUUUACAGAAAUAUUCCACUUAACUCAAAUUAUAAACUCAAAUAAACCUUCAAGAUUUCAUGUCUUCUACGCACUUCUUCUCUUCAACUCCUCAAGCUCAACGCUUAAGGCCUAGGAGGCAACAUAGCAAAUUAACAAUGCAACCGUUAUGAGCUCAUCAACCUUCCUACUGACCUAACCUAAGUUUGACAUGCGCGGGCUUCUUUGGGCAUGGAAUUUCACUUUCAAGAUAUAUUGGCACUUAUGCACCGUAUUUUUAGGCUAAAUAUAUAUAACUUUUGAAAAGAAAAAUCCAAGUCUGAGAUAGAAGGCCAUUUUGUAAGAAGUAUUCACCCCAUUUUUAGCCGGCUAUUUGGCUCAGGGUGCAGUAGACAUAAACAAAAUGAAGCCACUUUCGGCCAUUUCAGCAGCAAUUGAGGAGGAAGAACUUGAUGUCUAAGACUAGACAUUGUCCUGCUUUUUUCUUCUCUUGAGCUAAAUGGACAAAAUAACUGGUCACAAGCACAACCACGUUAGUCCACAAAAUCAAAAACAAAAACAAAACAACUCCGAACAAAAUCAUCUUUUACCAUUUAUAUAAAACGAUAAUUGAAUGCAUCUGAAGAUCUUAUUUAACUUAUACUACAGAUAAACAAUUGAAAGCUUUUAUUUAUGAACCUCAAAAAGAACCCCUAAUCGGUAAAUGUCUGAAGCACAUGAACUUGAUCCACCAGAAACCUCUUCGGGACUAUCAUACCAUAGCAGAUUAACAAUGCAACCAUUAUCUUGAUCUCCUAAUCGGAAUUCUAAUGGAUCCAACAGAACUUAGAAUUUCAUGCCUAAUUGAAGCCACUUCACUUCUCAGCUCAUCAACUUCCAAGUGCAACCUCUCAUUUUGAUUUCGCAAAUGUUGUAUCUACUCCUUUGCAACUGCAAGAUAGUAAAUAAACAACAAAAUUUGAGCUGUAGUCAUAGUUAUGGGAAAAGAAAUACCAGAUUCAUAAUACUUGAACUUUUCUUCUUGUUCUCUACCAAUUUCAUCCAACUCCGACCAUUUCUUCAUCUGCCAUGGCAUAACAACCACCGCAGAUUAGGAAAAAAGGGCGACAGAACAUAUUUAGAUUAAAUAGAAAUAUCCAAAUCAAAGUAUAGGCAGCACGUAGGUCCUUACAAAUACGUUUACAAUAUACCCAAAAUUCAGAAGUACAAAAGGACAAUUACUUUCUAUUUCCCUAACCUCAAAUUUCUCCCCUGAGCAAAUUUAACAUACAAUUAACUGAUUAAGCAAAAAAAUGAAUGAGCAAAAAAAAUUGUAAAGAAGUGGGAAAGAACACAGAACACCUUGAUUUUUGUGUACUUUUCGUAGAGUUUGGAGUAGAGAGCUUCCGUCUGCGAACGAACAAUAUUCCAGAAAAAAUCAAAAUAUAGAAAAACAGUAAGAAGUAAUUUAGGAAUGUAAAAAUGGAGGGGAAUCCUAUAGUGGACUGGUAGUACACUCAAACAUGACAAACAAAAAAUUAAACACAGAGAAAUGAGAGUAUGAGACUAACCUUUUGCAGUUGAGACUCGAAACGGCAAGAAGAAGCUCACGGCGAGAUGAAGGACUGACGGCGAGGGGCAGGUGUGAGAGAUUGAGAGUGAGAUGGGUCGCGCUGUCGCGGGUCGCCUGGGAUUCAAGACCGAGAGAGACAAAGAGUUUAAGAGAGACAGAGAGUGAUUGAAGUUGAAGACCGAGAGAGAGAGAGGAUGAGGCUAACCUUUUGCUGUCGAGACUCGAAAUGGCGAGAUGAGAGACUGACGACGAGGGCGCGGUGUGAGAGAUUGAGAGUGAGAAGGGUCGCGCUGUCGCGGGUUGCCUGAGAGAUUGAGAGAGAUAGAGCGAUUGAAGUUGAAGACUAAGCGAGAGAGGAAUCUCAGGCGGCGCGAGAGGGUUACUGGGUUAGGGUUCAUGGAGGGAGAGGCAGGGAACGAGAGAGAGAAGAAAUGAAAAAUAGAAAAGUGUGGCUGCUACUACUAGUGGCUAGGGUUAAAGGAUUUUGUUGAUUUCUCAACAAAAUUAAAAAAAAAAACUCUUAAAUCCUGAAGGCAGGAGGGUUCGAACCCAUUGCCUCCAGCGUGAAAAGUUUCACUUAAACCAACUUGGCAACAUAUUCUGUUUUGUUAUGAUUGUAUGACUAAACUAUUUAUAAUAUUGAAAAUAUAAUUAAAUAUAUAUAUCGGUUCGGUUCGGUUUUCGAACCUCAAAAAUCGAAACCGAACUGUCCAAAUUCGGUUCAGUUCGGUUUUUUUUCGGUUCGGUUUUUUUCGGCCUCGGUUCGGUUUGGUUGUCGGUUUUUUUCGGUUUUCGGUUUUUUGAACUCACCCCUAGGUUGAGGAAUAGGUCCACUAGUCGGGCUUGGCGGGGACGGAGUUGAGGAGGAGGGAGCAUUGGGAGGCAGGGGUGGAACGCAGGCCAGGUGAGGAGGAGGAGGGGCUUGGAUUUGGGGGGUCUGAAUUUGGGCGAUGAUGGUGAGGAAGGCAACUGUGAGGAAGACAAUAGGGUUUGGGAUUUUUCUUUUUUAUAAAUUUUUAUUAGUAUUUUUAUAUUUCUAUUUUUUUGAAUAUUCAUGUCGGCCUAUAUUGACAUGUGGCGUCCAGUUAUUGUUCACAUAAGCACCACGUCAUCAGUUAAAAUAGAUUCUAAUGGAAAUCUAAACAUAUAUAUGAAAGUGUAACUUUAAGUACCAAAUUGGAACGAAAAAAACUUAAUGUAUGAAAUGUUGAAAACCAAGAAACUUCAAGAUAGUAAAUUGAGAUUAACCUUUAAACAUACAAUGAUCUUAUAUUCAAAUACUAUAAAAGCGUCAGCACACAAUUUUUUUUUUCCAUAAAAUAAAAAUACAACCUAGAUUUAAACAUGACAAAAAUAUCUGAUUAUUAAUGUUGUGUUGCUUGUUUUGUUUUAGGCAAGCACUGAGCACGAGACUUACAAAAGCUACCAACAAAGAGGAGCAUUACAGCCGUAGUCUUUGAUUUCAGAAGGCAAUGGAAAUUAUAAUUGCAAUUGCCUCAAAAAUUGGACAGUACUUGGUCAAACCGAUAGGAAGAGAGUUUGGCUAUUUGUUUAAUUACCAUUCCAACCUUGAAAGUCUUCAGGCCGAGACAAAAAAGCUUUUUGACAAGAAAAAUGGAGUGCAGGGAUUGGUAGAUGCUGCCAAAAGGAACGGUCUAAUCAUCAAACCUGAUGUUCAGAGUUGGCUACAGAAUGUGAACGACGACAUGGUCAAAAAAGUGUUGCAGUUUGAGGUUGAAAUUAACAAGCGAUGUGUGUGUCAAUGGAGCCUGAGUCGGAAAGCCUAUAAGAUUAAACAAGAAGUUCUUCAGCUCCAAAACGAAGGAACAUUUGAAAAUGUGGCCCAUCCUGCACCUCCACCAGCGAUAUGGUCAACAUUCGAAAAAGGAUUUAAGGAUUUUCAGUCCAGAAAGGCAAACAUGAAUGAGGUGAUAGAGGGUUUGAAGAGGGAAGAAGUACGUAUGAUCGGGAUUUGUGGAAUGGGGGGUGUGGGUAAAACCACAAUGAUAAAAGAAAUCAUGACAAGAUUGGCAAAACUGAACCUGUUUGAUAAAAUUGUAAUGGCAACUGUGUCUCAAAGUCCAAGUAUUAGGACUAUCCAGUCGGAAAUUGCAGACGAAAUAGGUUUGCAAUUUAAGGAGGAAUCUGAGUCCGGAAGAGCACGAAGGCUACAUGGGAGACUCAUGGGCAUAGAGAGGAUCCUGAUUGUAUUAGAUGAUGCAUGGACAGAGCUUGGUUUUGCGGCUAUAGGACUUCCUUACGGAGAUGCUCAUAAAGGGUGCAAAGUUUUGUUGACAUCACGAGAUUCGGACGUUUGCAACAGGAUGGGAAGUCAACAAAUUAUUGCAGUCCCGAUUUUAACAACAGAAGAAUCAGAGGAGCUGUUUCGAGAAAUGGUGGGUGAAUCCUUUAAUGAUCCUGAUUUACGUUCCACUGCAAAAGAUGUAUUGAAGGAAUGUGGAGGUUUACCUAUUGUAAUUGUAACUGUUGGAAAAGCCCUAGAAAAGAAAAACAAGCAUGAAUGGGAUGAUGCCCUUAAUCAGUUGCGAAAUUCUACCCCAGUGAACAUCCCUGGAGUGAAUGACAAAGUUUAUUCUAGCAUAAAAUGGAGUUAUGAUAGAUUGGAGAGUGAUGAAGCCAGGUCAUGUCUUUUACUUUGUUGUUUAUUUCCAGAAGAUUAUGAUAUUCCAAUUGAGUACUUGGUUCGAUAUGGGUGGGGUCGAGAAUAUUUUAGCAGCAGCUUUACUUUGGAAGAUGCAAGAAUAGAGUGCAUUCUUUGGUUGGCCAACUAAAAAGAAGGUUUUUGUUGCUGGAUAGUGGCAAGGGUAAGUAUACAAAAAAAGUUCAGUAUACGAAAAUGCAUGACAUAGUUCGCGAUGUUGCUAUAUCGAUUGCUUCAAGAGAUCCACAUGGAUUUCUGAUAAGAAGUAAUGCUGAAAAUAAUGGGUGGUCAAAUUUAGCUACGUAUGACCAUUACACUACAAUCUCACUUGUUGGCAAAUUGGAGAUUCCGGUUGGUUUGAAAUGCCCAAAACUUGAGCUUCUACAGACGAUGAAAGGACGUUUUUCAAAAGGUAGCAUGGACAUCAUUUGUGAUGCGAUGAAAGAACUGAAGGUUUUAGCUUUGGUGGGAAUGGAAAUGGAAGACCUAGGCUCAUCAAGAUCACUAGGAGUACUGAAGAACCUGCGGACCUUGUGCCUAGAUGGGUCUAAAUUUGAUGGCAUGUCUACUGAUGUUAUUGGGAGUUUGGAGAAUUUAGAAAUCCUCAGCUUUCGGGAUUGUCGUUCCAUGCGUGAGUUGCCGAGGGAAAUUGGACGACUUAAACAGUUAAGGUUGUUAGAUACGACAGAUUGCAGGAAUCUUGAGGUGAUUCCACGUGGUAUCUUCUCCAGCUUAUGUAGACUUGAAGAGUUGUAUAUGCUUAAUAGCUUUACGAAAUGGGAAAUUGGAAGAGAAAGAGAAGAAAAGGGGAUGGCAAGCAUUUCUGAGGUGAUGUCUCUGUCCGAUCAUUUGAAGGUUCUAUCCAUAAAUAUACCCAGUGUCAUCCACUUGUUUCCAAAAGACAUAGUCUUGAAAAGCCCGACAAUAAGAUUCGCUAUAUGCUUUGAUACAUGGGGAGGGCAUAUUUCGGAGAUGAGUACUUAUGCAUUCGAAAAUUGUUUGGAGAUUAGUGAAAGUGAUGCAAGGGAGUUGGAGAGUCAAGCAGUUAGACUUUUGUUGAAAAAAUCUAAAAAAUUGUAUUUGCACAAAGUUAAGAAUUUAUCUGUCCUCACUGAUUUAGACCAUGAGGUAUUUCAAGAUUUGAAUGAUUUACGUCUUGUGGAUUGUCCAAAUACCGAGUAUCUUGCAAAUGGGACAAGUGCGACCCAGCUUCCGGAUAGCUUUUUGACCAACCUAAGAUUCCUUGAAUUAGGAAGUUGUCGUGUCUUAAAAUAUGUCUUUUCACUAUCAAUAGCGAGAAACUUGGUACAACUCCAGGAAUUAAUAUUGGUGGAUGUAAUCAAAUGGAAGAAAUUGUGUCGAAGCAGGGGAGGGAACAUGAGGAGGAAGCCGAUAUGAUAUCUUUCCAUAAAUUAACCAAAUUGUAUCUCUGGGAUCUACAGAGUUUGGUUAAUUUCUUCCAAGCCAAGAAGCUAUACUCCAACCAAGAGGUAUGUCCCACUCUCCAACUCUAUGAUAUGAGGAGGCAGCCGAUAUGUGGAAAUUUGAAAUUGUUUAACUGAUAAUGAUUUUUCUUUUUCAGGAAACAACGGCAAGGGUUGAGCAUCAAUCUGCAGGCAUAUUUGAAAAAGCAAUAUUUCCAUCAAAGUGCAUUUCAUGGUUUCCAAGUUUAGAAGAGGUACAAUUGAAGCAUAUGAAGUUUGAAGGCGUGCUAUUUGAUCUGAAAAUCCAUAUGGUUAUGGAUGGGCAGACAACUCCAAUAUUUCCUCAGUUAAGUAAGUUGGAUAUAUCCGGUGGUUCAUUUACACACUUGUGGAAAAACAUUCCGUUUGGAUUUCAAGGCUUCCGAAAUUUGAGAAAUUUGAAAGUAGGUGGAUGUCGUGGUCUAAAAUAUGUGUUCUCGCAUUUAAUUGCCCGAGAACUUUUGAAUCUUGAAGAGGUAAAGAUAUCUGGAUGUCCGGACAUGGAAACUAUAGUAAGAAUCACAGAGGAAAAUGAAGAAGAGGCGACAAAAUACAUGAUUUUGUUUCCGAAACUGAACACAUUUGAACUAGAAGACCUGCCUCGUCUCACAAGUCUUUGUCCAGAGGGAUUUACAUUUCUAUGGUCAUCCGCAAAAAAUAUGCACGUGAAAGAAUGUGAAAAUUUGAAGACAUUGGGUGCUGUAAUUCCACAAAGAAAGAAGUUAGAGAAUAAGUCUGAGAAGGAUUCAAGAGCAAACGCACACCGCUCCAUUGAAAUAUUGCCACGUCCAUUUAAUUUGGAGGUAAGCUUUUAAAUCAGGUUCAAUUAACCUCUACAAUUACAACUUUUAAUUAGUAUUGUAUCAUCUUGUUGAUCGUGUUUAAUUUUCUAGGUUACACCAACUAAUCUUGAGGACUCAAAUGAUGAUGAUAAUCUCGAAAAUCUUCUUGUCCACGACUGUGCAUCAUUGGAAGUGAUUUUCCAACUCAAGGGACCAAAGCAUGAAGAAAGUAGUCACUCCUUUGAAGCAUUCAAUAAAUUGAGGUCCUUAUGGUUAUAUAAGUUGCCAAGUUUAACGCGUCUUUGGGAGACGGGUAGUUCACAACAGAUGUUCACAGGUAGCAGCUUCGGAAACUUGAAAUCGUUGGAGGUCCAUCGUUGCAACCAGUUGAAAUACUUGUUUUCUUCGUCCAUUGUCAAACUUCUUGUGAGUGUAGAGGACAUAAGAGUUUAUGACUGUGAGCAGAUGGAAGAAAUCGUUGCCGCAGAAGAAGAAACAGCUGAAAUAAUUACAUUACCUAAAGUGAAGUCCAUCAAGCUUAUAAGGCUGCCAAAACUCAAGUAUUUUUGUGGUGAAGCUUAUACUUUGAACUUGCCGUCUUUGGAGUUAUUGAAGGUUAUUAGUGUGCAAGACUUAAGGCCAUUUGAUCCUAAGCAUGUUGACACGCAUAAUCCCCGAUUGCAAGUAAAAACCGCAUUUCGACAGGAAUGGACGGGGACCUCAAUGCCACUCUAAGGAAUAUUUAUGACACAAGGUAUGCUUUAAAUUAAUGUUUCUAAUUUACAGUCACUUUUGUGUCCACCUGGAAGAAUGCAUCAUCAAUAUACAACCACUGAACCAAGAAAGAUUUUCUCCUAAACAAUUACGUCAAUAUACAAACUUUUAGAGACUACAGUAAUGCUUCAUGCUGUUUGUUCCAACUCUUUCGAUCCAUGAUGCAUGCGUGGGAUUUCUAAUGUUUUUACGAAGGACUGAAGAAUAGCUAGGUUGAUAAUUUACAGUAUGUGAGCUAUAUAUGCUCAAUCUUAAAUUUCUAUUUAUUCAAUCGACAAAUACGUUCUGGUUUCGAGCUACAAGCAUAAUAUGGCAAACACCACCAAAUUUUUUACUACAAAUUUAGUUAAAGCAUAAUCAACAGUUCAUAUUUAGUUUGACAAAAGUGUUCUCAAAAUUUAGUCAAAUACCAUAUAUAUGUGCAUAUGUUCACACUAAAGUGUAUAGUAAUUUUAUUUUUUAAAACUCAAUUCUAUCUCAAGAAAACAUCUGUCUUUUAUUUCUAAAACAGGAAGGAUAACGAUGACGAAUUGUACAGUGAGGAUGAAAAUGAAGAUGACGAAUUCUCUGGGGAGGAUGAAGAUGACUAACAGAAUUGAUUGAUCAAACACAAAGGUUAGCAUGUUUCCAUCUCCAACUUCUUCUAGGUUUAGUAAAAACCGAUGAAAUUAUCUAUAAAGUACUCAAAAAAUUAUUCUACCAUGUUUUAUAGAAUAUAUACAUACAUGGAUAGUACUUUAAAAAUUGAACAAUAAGGAUCGUCGAACCACAUUCUGCUACCUAAUUCAUUUUUUCAAGGUACCCAAUGCAAGUCGAUCUAUAAUAUGCACUCUAAAAGUACUAACCUUGAGAAGCCAUUGAUAUGAACAAGAUUGAACCAUGAUCAGCAACGAACAAGCAAAGAUCUUCCUCUCUCUACACACCUUGUGCACUUCUAUCUGGGGUAGUGUUUUGUGCUAGAAUAAUGUGUAUAAAAGUGGGACCUAAGCCUCAUAUUUAUAGGUGAGAGUAUUAGGUUUCUUGCCCAUAAAGAAAACCCUAAUACAGAUCUUUAGCACCUCUAAAACCCAUGACCUAAUAGGAUAGAUAUUCCCAAAAAUUAUUGCUAUACUUCACCAUAAGUAAUCCGGAAUAAUCAAAUAUUACUUCCUUUCUUUUAUCCUUAAUCAAUUAGGACUCCUAAAUAGAUGUAAGCCCAAUAAAAGUCUUACACAGUUACACCCAAUAGCAGUUCAGAUGGAAGAAGCUUUUCGGAUUAGCAACUGCCUCAAGAAACCUUUAUCAGAUUCCACGAUAAUAUUGGAAUAACCUUUUUCUGUUACAACAAGCAUAACCGUUUUGAGAAACACAUAUACAAUAAACAUAACCGUAGUGCUAAGUGACUUGAAAAUUAAUUUGGUCCUUAAACCGCUAUAUUCUGAAACACAUAUACAAUAAGUAUUACCAUUUGAACUUAUUCCAAUUUCAGUGAUUUCUAAAAUUCUCCAAUGCAUGCAGGACAAGAGUUUACAGAACGUUGUGGAUUCAGCAAUUCGUUUACCAUAUCAUAUGUACAAGCCAAUAAAAGGUCAUUUGUUGCACCAGAAUUUCAUUCCAAAAAUACCAUUUAUGUUUGCUUAUUUGAUGUAUUAUAAAUUUCGAUUGCGAUUAUUACUGUUUGUUUCUAAAUUAGUGUUUGCUUAUUUGUUAUGGUAAUUUGGAAAAGUUGUCUCUAGCUACCAAUAUUUGCAUUUCAAUUUAUAAUGCUAAAAGUUCUGUAAUACCAUAGACGUGUAAGAUGAAUGACAUGCUGGUAGAAUGACACGUGUAAUAUUGAUCAUGUGUAAGCUAAAUAAUAUUAUGAUACACUAUAAUAAUAUGAUCAUUCACUAUAAGGCCUGAUAUUAAUUCAUAAAAUCUGGUUUUCCCCUAAACGUAACGGAAAUCAUAUUUAUCUAGGCAUGCUUAAUAUUUGAUAAAGAAAAAAACAUUUCUUAAAUAAAUGUCCACUCACACCUCCGGCUAGCUCUCCCUUGAGGAGCUUUGUCUACCAAAUAGGUAAGUUCAAACAACUUCAAGAGAGAAUUUCCUCCACAUUAAGUCUUAAACAUCUACUGGACAGCAGGCAAUUCAAAACCAAAGUAAGCUGCUGAAUACAACUACAAUAAACAAGGAAUCAGGCUAAGUUAUUGUCUUCAUCAUAACAUGAUUUUGGCCCCCAUUUUCUAAUUUCGUACCACAUUUUCACAUUCUUUCCAUGAAUUUUAUAGUUCCUAUGCAAAAGUGUUCAUUCAAUGCCUAUUCACAACAAUACAAGGUUCUACAGAGUUCAAUCCCACACCAUGUUAUAGACAUGCUUCAACUAUCAACCGGGAACGUAAUCGUUAGGGGUUUCAACAGAUUCACAGAUACAACAAUUACCAUAAGUCUCAUCUCCGACAUUCAUACAGAAAAUAGAAUAAAAUUCGAAAUCAAGAAUCAAUCCCAAAACUAAAAGUUGAAAAUUCGGAAAAUGAAAUUACAUUGGCGAACAGCCCACGAGAAGAGGAUCAUUUCUACCUCUUGGUCGAGCUCCAAUUGCGGCGAUAUUGGCCGGAAGUUGGCCGGAAAACCCUGGGUCACCGUUUCUUAAAUUUGAAGUUGAGGAAAGUCGCCUACGAAUCUAUAGAAACUAACUUGGGGAUUGGAUAAAGGACGGCAAGAGCAUUCUGGAUGUGUAGUUUGAGAGCCUUUGGUGA
rnacentral:lncRNA from 1 species